UAUGGUGUACAAUCUGGAUGCAAGCAUAUGCAAAUUUCUUAACUCUGUAAUCCACUAAGGCCUUGUUAAGUACAUAAUCCUUGCUAGCGAAAAUGCUCAACAUAUCCCCUAUAUAUGUAAGAGAGAGAAAGGUUAGAAAGUACUAACACUAAGAGAUAUGUGCUAUCAAUUAGAAACACUUUAAGAUGACAUUAUCAAUUAGAAAACCAAGUAUUAAGCAGCAUAAGGGAAAAUAACAAACAAGGGCACCACAGUGGUUCAGAAACCAAUCAAUAUUUCCAUUUGUCACUUUUAUAAUAAUUUCCCAAGGGAAAAUCCUCAUAAUAAGCUUGAGUACCACCUAAUAACGUGUUCAAAUGUUACCAUAAGCAAAAAUGAGUGAUCCUAAAAUUCAUAUGACAAGGAAAGUCGUCAACUAGCAAACCGCCAAAUAACAGUUAUAUGGCUAGAAUUAGUUUUCUCCAACUUCAAGAAAAUAAAACAUAUUAAAACAAAAGGAAUUAUGGUGCAAAAUAAUGAAUAUGCUGCAAAGGUAAGAAGUUUCUGAAGGUAAAAAUGGUCAAUAAAAAACAACAUAUAAUUUGACGUAAAUCAAAGUAGAAUUAUUUCUCGCAAUGAAUUCUCUGCCAAUAAUGGCUAAGAGAAGGGGUAUUUAUUGAGAAUUAGUUAACCAGGCAGAAAUCAUCUAGGGCAUAGUAUUGUUUUAGGUCUGCGACAUUAAAAACAUAAUGAAUGUGUAAGUCUGGUGGUAGUUCUAUUUUGUAAGCAUUAUCUCCGAUCCUCUUUAGGACACGGAAUGGUCCUAAUUGUCUGUCUUUUAGUUUGUUGUAUGUUUCGAUUGGAAAUCGAUUUUUUCUUAGGUGAAUCAUUACUAAAUCUCCCUUGGUAAAGGUAGUUUGUCUUCUUUUUCUGUCUGUUGCGUCUUUGUAGGACUGAGUUGUUUCUUUUAGGUGAUUGUGGACUUCUUCGUGUAAAUUCUGGAUUUUUUCUAUCAUCUUUUCUGCCUCUGAUAGUUAGGGAACUCAACACAUUUUACUUGACCUAACCAAGAUGGCUCUUUGUAUGUAUAUUGCAUGUGUUGUUUGUUUUUUUCUAUAGCUCUUGAUUGUCUCACUUUUUUACGUUUUGCAUUUGCAAUUCUCUUUUCUUUCUUUGGUAUGCAAUGUGGUAACAAGGUCUUGCUAGAACCGGUGGGCUAACCUUUCUAUGGUUCUAAACUUAGUUUCUAAGUUUGACUGCUCCCUUCGGAGUGACAACAAGCCUCGUUUUCCCCUACUAUGGAACGGGGAGGAUUCAUUUUCUUUUCAAAGCCCUCGUCAAACUCAAUGCUAAGUUUGACUGCUCCCUUCGGAGUGACAACAAGCCUUGUUUUCCCCUAAUGUGGAUCGGGGAUGAUUCCUUCUCUUUUCAAAGCCCUCAUCAAACUCGAUGCUGUGCUUAGAACGCUAAGAGUAGGUGGUCUGGUUUUGGUUAGGCCAAAAGUGAAGUUUUCCCCCAUUUUUUAUGGGCUUUUUCUAAUGUAUAUUGGAUAUGUUGUUUGAUUUUUUUUAUAGCUCUUGAUUGUCUUACUGUUUUAUGUUUUGCAUUGUCAAGUCUCUGUUUUCUUUCUUUGGUAUGCAAUGUGGUAACUAGGCCUUGCUAGAACCGGUAGGCUAACCUUUCUAUGGUUCUACAUUUAGUUCCUAAUUAAGUUUGAUUGCUCCCUUCGGAGUGACAAUAAGUUUUGUUAAUGUCGACCCUUUUCUAAAGGGAUUUAGUUCACUGUGGCUAGGCAAGAGGUUUCUAACUCAUGUUUGACAAGACAAAUUUGUUAAAACCAUCUUAGUUUCUAAAGAGUGCCUCCUAUCCCUUUUUUACUCUAUCUAGGCUAGGUUUGGACUAAGUGCAUCAUAGGUAAGUCACGACAAAGCAACAAAGGAAGACAAAGCUAGAAAAGUAUUCAUGCACUUAUUUAUUAUACAUGCAAUCAAGCAUUCACAACAUACAUACCAUUUUCUCAAUCAUGCAUUCACACCUCAAUAAGAAAUAGCUAAAAGGAGCUUACAACAAAAAAGACAGCCGCUUAUUCUCAAAUUUCAGCACAUAUACUCAUCAAAAUUUAGAAUUUCACAUUGCAAACCCGAGCUCAGUGCUCAAGGGUUGCCAAUCAUGCUUUUUAUGCAAGAUCUAAUUAAGCUAAGAAGGUAUAAUGCUCAUUUUGUAUGGAAAGAAUUCUGAAAUUUUUUUUAAAUUUGGGCAAAAUUUGAACCCCGAAGUUUAGACUAAACAUGCAAGCUAAGCAAGCUAUUACCCACACCCACUCAAAAAAUUGCUUUGUCUGUCCUAAAAGCUUUUGAAAAUCAAAGUAAAUGGAGAAAAAUAAGGGGGGAACUUUGGACUCCCCUAGAAGGAUCGACAUCCUUGACUUUGGUUUGAAGCUUGCAUGGAUAAACCUUUUCAUUCCUUUUUAAUUGAUUAUUCAUCCUUGUUCCUGAAAAUCAAAGGAAAUUCUCUCAAUUUUAUAUAUUACUAAAAUUAGGAUACAUAUAAGUCUUAACUAGUCUAAUAGCACCCUCCAUUCAUCUUCCCCUACACUGGCUAUGGUAUCAAAAUUUUCAAUUAAGUAAUACGUCUACUAACGAACUUGAAAACAAAACACAUCACACUAAAAAACACAAACAUCACUUUAACCCAACAGAAGCUGCUCUUUUUACCCUUGCACUCACUAUCACAUUACUAUCAUGUUUGUCAACUGUCAAACUAACUCUUUUAAGUUAUUUAGUGUGACUACAAAGUUAUGAACACCAUAAUCUUAAUUAAAACCUUUUAAUAAACAAAUGCCAAGUUACUACUCAACAAUGGCAAGGAAUUCAAAAAACAUGACUGUAACGACCCAACUUUUCUAGGUAAGUCGAAGUCAUUAAUUUCAAAUAAGGACCUGAGUUUACACAAAAUCUCAAUCUCAAACAAUUUCAAAGUCUCAAGAAAAACAAAAAUUUAUAUCUGGGCCCUGUUUAAAAUAACCAGCACCUUCAAGACAAAUUUACUAAUUCGUGAAUACAAUUCAACUAUAAAAUUUUCUAAACAAUCUCAAGUACUAAACAAAACACGUGAAACAAAACAUUUAGCGGAAGCAAUUUAAAAUAACCCCUAUGGCAAUCACGCUUCCUUUCUGCCCCUCGCCGGUUUGCCGUCUUUAUUAUCUUUGCCUGAAAAUUAAAUAUAAGGAGGGUGAGUAUAAAAAUACCCAGUACGAGACCCUCUACUGGUCCCGUCAGGGUAAAAUAAAUUGUUAACAUUCUAUUGGGACACCCUGUACAGUCACAGUCUUGUGAUCCCGUAGGAUGCACAUUUCAGUCUAACGCCCCGAGGGACGUACAUUUCAGUCUAGUGUUCUGCAGAAACACAUAUCAGUCUAAUGCUCUUGAAGGUGCAGAAUAAUUGGUGAUCCGUGUGACACCUACAAGGCACACAUCCCAAUAAAAGCUAACAAUUUUUCCCCUCAGUCCAUUCUAAACAUCUUAACAGUCAUUCACAGAUCAGUUAAACAUUCUCAUCACGUAAACUCUUUAUUUAACCUCAAACAGUCGUCUUACUCUAAUUUAGUCCAAGGUCAAUAAAAAAACAUAUCAUUACAUCAGUUAACAAGCUAAACAAUCAUAACCUCCUCCUCAGUCACCAAGGGCACCACCAUGACGUUUCUUCCGUUCACAAGCACACAACAUAACAGUAGAUUAUACACUCAGUCUAGACAACAAUCAAUCUACUAAUCAAAUCCACACUUUAUAUAAGCAACAUCUACGAGAUUCAGUCGUUUCCACAUCCUUAUCUUUGUACACAUACAUAACCAGACAGUCAUAACAUAUACUCAACCACAGUCUACAUCAAUCCAUGCACAUAUAUGUAUUAAUUUCUCCCAGUCAAACAUAGCAAACAUUAAACUUUAAGUCAAUGCCCAAACAUACAUCAUAACAGUCAUCUCUACUCAGUUCAAAUCAAUACAUCUUAAUUAGUCAUUAUAUCUUAAUUUUAUUGUUGAGUCUAGUAGAAAAUCCCUUACUUUCAAGUUAGUUAAGCUCCUUAACCACGUUGAAGUCUACGAAGAACGAACCUAAACAUUAAGACAAUUUCUCAAUAAUUCUCAUCAAUCAUUUAAAUUCAACCCAAUGUGAUUUUUUUUUUACAACUUACCCAAAUCUUCACAAAACGAGUUCCAACUAGAAUCAAUUGUUUGGUGCGAACCCAAUGAAUUCGAGUGUUACCUUCAACCUAUAAUCGAUAUAAUCGAACAGUAAACGAUUUAUCCAACCAAUUAUUCCAGCAAUAUUACUUGAGUUUAUUUUGGAAACAGUUACAAAUUUCAUAACUUCAAUCUUACCAAUCAAAAUUUAAUGACUCGUGGCAAAGCAGGAACGACAGCGAACAACCCAAUCGAAUGGCGUGGGUUUGCUACCUGCGGCAGGACGAAGAAGGAACUCGACGCGCAGAAAGUUGGAUCUGGGGUCUUUAGUUCGGUUCACGGUAGCGAAUUAAAACCUGAUUGCGCGGACGUCAAAGGUGUUAUUCGCGGAAGAAGUCGAGCAGCAGCUUUGCGAAGAGACGACGUGCGACGGAGAGACUGUAUACAGACGGACGGAGAGUCGCGCGGCAGUGCAGAAAACGGAGGAGAAAGGAAUGGGCGGCGGCUGGGCUUGGCUUCGACGGAGACAGAGGCGAUUAGGACGGGGCACGGCGACGCAGAUCUGGACGACGGCGCGGAGACAGAGGUUGCGCGGCGCUGGGCAGAGGGUCAAACGGCGCUGGGCGAAGGGUCACACGGCGCUGGGCGGAAGGUCACACGGCGGCCUUGCUUCGCGAACAGAGAUGGCGGCCGACGGUUGCAGCGGCGGCUGGGUAUGGUAGAAAAGAAAGAGAAACGGAAGAAGAAUAGGGGCGGCGACCGUGGAUCGGAGAAGAAAAGAAGGAUGAAAGCGAUGGUGGCCGGUUGGAGGGUGCGGCUGGAGGUAGGGAUCGGUGAAGGAGAAAAUAGAAAAAGAAAAUGAAGGGGAAAUGGGGGUUGCGCGCGGGAGGAAGAAGAAAGGAAAAAAAAUUCUUUUUUUUUUUUCUUUUCUUUUAUUUAAAUUAAAUAAUAAAACUAAAAUAUGUGUAUUGAUCAAAUGACCCAUAUCAAUAAGGACACAAAAUUGGCAAAGAACAAAUAAAUUAAAAUGGACAAUAACUCUUGUUUCAUUACUUUCUCUCUCAUUGGAGUUCUUUUGUUCACCAUCAUUUCAAAUGUGGCAUCAUCUAACGACGUUGUUUCUACCAUCUGUUCAGAAAUCUCAAAUCCACAAUUUUGUUUAAGUGUGUUGAAAUCUGCAGGCACUACAGAUCUAAAAGGCUUGGCUGUAUACACCUUAAACCUUGCUCAUUCAAAUGCUGGCAAAUCUUUGAUCCUAGCCAACUCACUAGCAAAAGCCACCACCAAUCCUCAACUUAAGCAACGAUAUUCAUUUUGUGCUGAGAGCUAUGAUGAAGUUGUUGGUGACAUUGAAAAUGCUCAAAAACGACUUGGCACUUGGGGACUUUAUUGGUGUCAUUAUUGCAACUACUGGUGCCAUGACAACUCUUGGUGAUCACUGUCAGAAUAAGCUCUUGCAGCCGCCGAAGGAUACAUCGUUGCUUUUAAAGAAUAGCAACACUCUAGAUGAUAUAAUUUAGCAUUAUUAUGGUUAUAUCCGAUCAUCUUUGAGGGUUAUGUACUUGAACAUUUUGAUCAAUAAAUAAACUGAAGUUUAAUUUUUAAAAUAAUAUUACAAUGUGAUGGUGAUUGGAAUUGAUUACUUACUUUGAUUAAACUUGAGAAGAUAAGAAAAUCAAUUAAUAGAAACGUUCACCGACACACAUUGUCAGCACGUCGGAGAAAGCCUAAACUUUUUUUUCUUUUCUUUUACGUUCUGUUUUCUUUUCUUUGUUUGCCAUCAUCAUCAUCAUCUUCUUCUAGCUUCUUACGUUCUGUUUCAAUUGCAUACUUCUGUUAUUCUUGUAAUUUCUUCGUGGUUUUCUUUUUAACUUUGUGUUUCAGUGUGGAUUCAUAAACACAUUUUUCAGUGCUCUGGAUUCUGGAUCUGUUAUGAUUUUGAAAGGGUACAGUGAAGUGAAAAGUUGAAAUGGAAAAGAAAAAAAGAAGAAAAGAGGACACUUCUCGCGGUGGUGGCGGCAAAGACUGACGUCGACGACAACACAACUCUCCUCCUCUCCCUAUAUCUCGGCCGAUUUUGGGUUUAUUUUCGUUUUGCAUUCUGUUAUGUGUGGAAGGGAGAAUAAAUAGUGUGGACUUUCCCCGACGUCUUCGAAAACGUUGGGAAAUUUACCUUUCGCCGACGUAUGUAGUACACACGUCGGAGAAAGUUUAAAUAAUAAAUUCAUUAUUUAAACUUUCCCCGACGUACUCCUGUCAUACGAGUCUAAAUUAAAUUUAAUGCGUUCUCCUUCGGCGAUGUGUGUCAAGGUGACGUUGGAAAAAGUUUAAACACUAAUGCAAUUAUUUUAAAUCACAUAUGUUAUCGCUUAUAUGGCAUAGGAGUCUAUUAACGAUAGAAAUCUAUCUUGAUAGGUUUUUGCUACAUUUACAAUGUUUAAAAAAUAUUCUUAUAUACUUAACUAUUAUUCCUAAAAUUGCUAACCCAUUAUACUUACCCUUAGUUAAAUGUAUAAUGUCAAAAGUAAGUUUACUACGAAGGUAAUCUAUGUGACCCUUUUAUCCUAACGUAGGAAGUUUGUUCCACUCCAUACCAUUAUUGAACUAAAAGGAUUAAGUGUGUAUUAAUAUGUUUAAACAAGUAUAAUUAUAAGCAAAAUCUAUAAGUGAUAUAUUGAUAUUAGCAAUACAAUACGCGUCACAUAUGCAAACAUUUUGUGUCUAAUCGUUGUAUUUACAAUUAACUCCAUUAAAAUAUUACAAAUAGAAAUAGAACUCUUUAACCUAUGUUCAGUUAGGAUCACAAACUACAAAAUGAAAGCAUGGAACAAAUUUAAUUUUUUUUUUCUUUAAAGGAAAUUUUGUGUGUAGCACAUUAUAUUUUUUUCUUUCCUUUAAAAAACAUUAUUGAUCUUAUGAUAUUUGACAUAUAUUAUAUUUUUUUAAGAAUGUAAAUAAUGUAAAUAAUGUGCCAAAUAAUUGAAAACAUGUUAUCCAAAACAGAGAAUGGUUAAGAAAUUGUUGACAUUUAGUCAAAUUAAUAAAUAAUUCAAAAUUGUGUUUGAUUUUUGAAUUUGAAAAGAUAGUAAAAUUAGAAGUGUUUUGAAAUAGUGUUUACGAGAAGAUUUUUAAUUUUAAAUAGCAUUAUAGUAGCUAUGGAUGGUUAUAUAAUAGUCUACACAAUCUUUGUCACAAAUGAUUAAUUCGAUUUUUUAAAUCAAGUCUAAUGUUUUUUUUUUUUUUUUGCCUAUUUCUUACCCAUAAUUUUUACAUUUUUUGUAAGUAUAAUGGUUGAAUGCAAAAAGAGAGCUGACUAGUAAGUGCAAAAAGAGAUCUCACAAGCUUCUGCAAAAGCUAAUCAAGCAACCCAAAUCAUAAACGAGGAGAAAAGUUGAUUGGUUAAGCUUUGUUGUAGUAAAGAAGAAGUCAAAGUGAACAUGGAACGUUCUUCACUCUCAAAGAACAUCGCCAACAUAUAGAUUAUAUACUUUUUCUGGUAUUGACCCAAAAAACACAAUCCAAGUGUAUUUUUGGUGAGAUGCAUAGUUUAACUAAACCGUGUUAUUACAAAAUUUUUAAUUACUAGGAACUCCUAAUGAAACGAAUACAUUAUUUUUAUAAUUACGAGGUAAAAUGGAAACAUACAAACUACUAAAAAAAGUUGCAAUUCGAUUAUUGGGAUUCAAUCUACUCUCCAUGAAUGUUUCUUGAAAUGAGAGUUUUUAAGCAGCUACAACUUGCUUAUGUAUAAAAGCAAAACCCUUUCUCAACGCCUACCUUCAGUUUUGGCUUUAGAGCUUCAAGUGAUUUUUGCCCCUACUCAGAUAAACCCUGAAGAUCAGAUGUUACAAAGGCUUCAAUUCCACAUGCAAAAAUCAUGUUCAUGAACCAAAAGCACCUUAAGCUUCUCUUCGAUAUCUUUGAGCUCACUGGAUAAAGAACUGAUUUCUAAAGCAAUCAUCUCUACCCAUAUCCUCAUCGUUCCCACUGUCUUUUAAUAAGGUUGGCAUGAUAAUCACAACAAAAGAAGAAGAAACUAAGAUCAAUUUAACAAAUUUUAUGUUGGGAAACUUUUUUAAGAACAACUACUUAUAAACCAACCUUAGCUUUGGCCUCACAUUCCUUGAAUUUUCUAAAAGUAGAUACCACCUGUCCGGGCAACCCACACCAACCAACCAAGAGUAAGUUAGUGUGAAAGACACUUAUUUAAUGAAGAAUAUGUAAAAGAGGUCAUUCCAACUGUUACACAUAAUAGUAUUGGAGGCAGAUAACCUUGCCAUACCUCAUCAAGUUCUGAUAUUGAUUGAGCUAGUUUUUGAUACUCUGUGGGGUUUGAGACAAUAUCUGGAUUGACCAGCUUAACCUAAAUAAUAAUAUCGAUAGUGAUUAUUGUGUAGGAAAAUAUUAAAGCUAUAACCAAAUCAAAAGCAUAAUUGGAAAUACAUCAAAGAUGUAAAUGCAAAUUUCAAAAGUGGGAUCUACAGAAUGUAAGGGGAAGAAACUCAAAUAAAAUUACUUUAUUAUUAGUUAUAACGACUACUAAUAGAGAUUCCAGAUACACCACAGUUCCACGUCCUCUUUCAGGAGGAAAGCAAUGGUUAAAAAUUAAUUGUGAAAACUAAAGAAGGUCCUGUUCAAAUCCUAACAGCAAUAGGAAAGCAAGGAGUUAUAAGGUGAUCACUAUAGGCCAAAUCCAAAAUGCAUUCAAUAUUUGUCUUCCAAUUUCAUUAUCAAGUGCAUAGGCAAGGUCCCUAGUGAGGAAGUUAUUCGUUCUUUUCUUCAUUUUCUAUAGCUCUAGAAGUAGCUAAAUGGAAUCGUCAAGCACCUAAUCUAUUAAUUUUAAAACUCAAAAGUUCACCGCGGGAUUCUAGUCACUGCUGAAACAACAUAGAGUUCACUAGUUCCACAGUUAAAUUAAUUGCAAAUUGCAUUUCCUGGCAUUUUCAAGAAAAAAAAAAUGCACAAAUCAUAAUAUGAUGAAGUAGAAAAAUUUUGUGAGCUCGACUUUUCCAGGACAUAUCUUAGCUACUUCUCCUAUUCCAGCUCGAUAACCAUUGUACUUUAACAAUUGAAACAUUAAUCCAAUAGUUAACAAUGUUCUGCACUUUAUGCCCUUUACAUUUCCAACAACUUGAUGCAUACAUCAGUAGUUAACACAGGCACGAGCUCUUAAAUUCAAUGCAAAAUAAACAGUCCCAUUCCAAGCAUAGACACCAAAUACAAACAAUUGAUGGACUUGAAUCAGUGAAGAAAUAAGAAUGUCAUUUAACAGCAAAGCACAAAUUACCGAUAAUUUUUUCCACGUCUUCUCAGCAGAUUCCAAUUUCACGAUCAAAUAAGGUUCCUAAAAUAAAGCAAUCACCAUCAUCAUUUUCCACAAAUAUGAUUCGAACUAGUUUUACCACAAAUUAAUUUCUAGUAACUUGAAGAAAAACUCAGUGAACUCAAAGCAUAACGAAACUCAAGUUCUGUUAAAGCCAAUCCGAACAAUAAGAUAUAGACAUAUUGUGUUCUCGAAAGAAAAACAUUCAAUAAAUCUAACAGCCAUGCAAAUUAGAGUUGAAGCUCUAAAGGGAGGUGCAAAGCAUUUUAAGUUCCAGAGAGCAUCUUCUGAAGGCGAUGAGCCCAUAAGAUGAAAAAAAGGCCUCAAGUGAGGAAGAAAGACGCCAUCCAAACAUGAAAAAAGGAAGAAAGGCAAGAUUUUGGUAGCUCCAGACCUGAGGGAAGCCAACAAGGUGGCGAGGGAGGCAAGGCCCCAAAGUUUUAGCAUUGCCAGCAAAGUGAAGGUAGAGAGGACCACAGCGACACUUUCCUUUCUGACGUGGCGCCUCCGAGAGUUUAUGGACGCCCCAAUUGGGGCGUUUGGAUGGAGUAAGUUCUUCAAGGGACUUCCAAGAUUCGAUGGAGGUUGUCAAGAAAUUCUACGCAUUCAGAUUACAACCACUACAAGGAAUUUCAGAUCAACCACACAACAAUUUAACACUAUUGGGAGAAUCCACGAAUUCUUGGUCAAGUAGAAGAACCUCCAUGUGGAAGAAACAAAUUGUGAACGUGUCGAAGACCUUGAAGUGUGGAAAUGGAAGAUCAAAGAGUUCCAGCUUCGCCAGUCGACAGGGACGUCAACUGUUUAAGUAGGGGAGAAUGUCAAGAGCAUGCUUGUCCAAGGCAUUGUUUGCCCAUGGCCGCAUGGCCGAACAUCCUCAAACCGCCUUAUAUUUAUGUCUUAUAACUUAGUUUAGCCAUUUUGUUUCCUUUUGUUGUCGCCGACCUAGGGUGUGACGUUUCAAAAUUUUCAUAUGCAAGUCUGUCAUAGCUAAAAAUGUUUAAAAUGUACUAUAGGGAAGACAUAGUAGUUGAAUCCCUGACCAAGCCUUGUUGCACUCUUUGCAUUCUAAUCUUUCUUUGCAAUUAACAGUCUUCAAUGCUUUCUUUAACAGAUGUGUUUUCAAUUCUUUUCUUCUCUUCUUGUCUUAUAAAAAUAAAUUUCUCUCAAAACAUGAAAGAGGCUAUACCGUACUGCGUGCUUUUUUUGCGACUUCUGGAUUUCAUACAGCUUACUUGUUCACCGAGCUAGAACAAACGUCGCAUAAUCACCAUCCCCUAUUUGAAAAUUUACGAUUAUGACAGCAUGCGGUGAGGUGCACGCGGCAUGUGUGGGCCCAAGCCAAGCAUGCAACUGGCAUUCUGAUACUCUAUGCACGUGCAUGCUGCCUGCGCCCAUGCCCGUGCAGCCAGCAUUGUCAUGACGUAGUUUUUGGGAUGUUUGGUGUUUUGGGAAAUUUUGAGCAAAUUCUGGAUGUUCGAGCAUGCGGAUGUUCUAUGCAAUGCAACCAGCAGCCCAUAUGUUCUAUGUUCUCUUUACGGUCGUAUGUGCACAUUUGGUUAACUCUACUACUACUAAUGGGAAAGUUGACGAGCCUAUGCUGAAUUCAUCAGGAAAGGUGUACUUUGUUGAGCCCAUUGAGGAGAAGGAUACCUUCUUUUUUUCGAAGAGGUGUUUCAAUGCCUAGGCCGUCUUUUGACAAUGAGGUGUUAAUAUUACCUAGACUUCAUGCUAAGAACGGGUUGUGAAUUUAUAAUCAAGAAUGCAGUUCGAGUAUCAUGUCUUUCAAAUGAUUUCCAACAGCUUGAAUGUUUCUAUAAGACAAGAAUUUAUGCUUAACUGUUUUAGAAAGCAUGUUUUAUAAAAAUUGUCACUCACUAAGUCUUUCGACUUAUCCUUUCAAAUCAUUUCUCACUUUUCAGGUAUGGAUUAUGCAUUCCCUAAUGUUAAGCGUAUUGCUUGCUGAGCCAACCAGUUACUAGAAAUUGUUAAGUCAUUUUGAAAGUUAGUUUUGACUUUGUAAGAAAAGUUCAGGAUGAGCAUGUCUAUGUUUAUUGUUAAAGUUCCAAUGUUAUAAGUUAGUUUAGUAAAAAGGUCACUGUCAUGUUUAAAGCUUCUGCUGAUGUAUCACAAUAGUUGUAACUAGUGGUUUAAGUUAUUAGUUAAAGCAUGUAGCUUGUGUAUCGCUGUUUGUUUUGAGCAUGCAUUCAUGUUGUAACUGGUAGUUAAGUUAGAAAGGUUAGUCGGUUGGUAAGUUUUGCCAAGGUAUGGCAAUCCUUGCCAACCCUCGCACCUUCUUUCAGAGCUAGAUGUUGUUCAGAAAAUAAGGAGCUUUGGGAGGGGGUGGUGACAACAACACCAUCCCACUAGAGUACGCAAAUGAUGCAUUAUUGUUUAAUUAAGUCAUAUAUAACUUCCACAAUUUGGAUAGGAAUUUAACUCAUUAGAAGGUGUCCUAUAGAAUUUCUCAGUGAAAAGUUCAGAGAAGCUACAAACAAAUGUCACUACCGAACAACAAUCAUAUACAUGGGUUAGGGCUUUGAGCAGCUGUGAACACAACUUAAUAAUAAAUAUGAAGUCGUCCUCUUUUCAUCAUUAGUCAGAAGAAUUCUUAAACUUUCUAAAAAUAAUUGUCAAAUAAUUGAUUAUAUAGUAUGCCAUUUAUUUGGAAUAUACAAUUUUUUCAUUACCAGGAAAGGAGACUUCUCACUAAGUAAAUGUAAAGAGACUAAUGCUAUAAUUUGAAUUGGAAAAUAUAAUUUCAUAAUUAAGCAUCGAAUAGGGACUAGUUAAGAAGUACACACUUUAGUUUGCCAGAGUCCAUGUUCUACACAUGUUAGCCACUCUGUCAUUGGUUUAGCAGUAAAACAAAGGAUGUGUUUAGGAAUGUGAGCCACACAAAAGGGAAAGAAAACAGAAGGCGCAGUGAGCCACACAAAAGGGAUCGAAACGAAUGUUCAGAAAUAUCGGAAGGAUCGAAGAAAUAUGGAAGGAAAGACGAGGAAAAAACAACAGACCGGAGCAAGUUCAAGAAGGUAGAGAUCCCGAUCUUCAAUGGAAUAGACCCCGAUUCAUGGUUAUUUUUCGCGCCGAUCGUUAUUUCAAAUGCAAGAUACACAAGUUGACUGACUCAGAGAAGUUAAUGGUAGCGGUAAUCAGUUAUUAGGACCAGCUUUGGAUUGGUAUAGAUCAAUUGAUGAAUUGGAACAAUUCAAGAGUUGGGAAGAUUUGAAGCAAAGGUUGUUGUCCGAUUUCAGAGACGAUUCGGGAUGGAACACUCGUAGGCAGAUUCUUAAGGAUUAAGCAGGAAACGACAGUAGGGGAAUAUAGAAACAGUUUCGAUAAAUAUUUAGCUCCGGUAGCCUUCCUCCAGACCAUAGUAUUAGAAGAAACCUUUAUGAAUGGGCUAAGCCCAUGGCAUAAAUCCGAAGUUGAAACGCUGGAGCCCAUAGGUUUGGCCAAAGAUGAUGUAACUAGCCCUGAAAUUGAAAAUAGAGAGAUGGUUCGUCGAGAAUGUGGGCUUAGUAGUGUUUCGGGAAUGAAUCAACAAUUCAAGCAUAAUAACGUAAAGCAAACCUCGACAGUAAACACCCAAUCAGAAACCCACGGAAGGGAGCUGGCCAAUGAGAAACGAUUACGUUAAAAAGAGUGACGGCAGAUGAAAAGAGGAGGGAAGGUCCGACCAAGCGUCUUUCCAACGCUGAAUUUCAAGCACGGAGGGAAAACGGUCUGUGUUUUCAGUGUGAGGAGAAGUAUCACGAGCUGGACAUAGGCGUAAGGUGAAGGAACAGAAGGAAUUACGGAUGUUAGUAGUAAAGGAAAUGGGAGAAGAACUGGAAAUCAUUGAGGAUGAACACUUUGAUGUGGAAAACGGAGGCCCAGACCAUUGAAAUUGAAAAAGUGGAGAAUAUGAAUAUAGAGCUGUCCAUUAACUCAAUUGUGGGGUUAUCCAACCCUGGAACCAUGAAACUGAAAGGGAAGAUAAAAGAGACCAAAGUGGUAAUAAUCAUCGACAGUGGAGCCACCCACAGUUUUAUUGCAAAAAAUUUUGUAACCACCCUUAGCCUACCAAUGACAGAAAAACGUCCAACUAUGGAGUGAUUUUGGGGAUCAGGGGUUGCGGUCAAAAGGAAAAGGAAUCCGCAGUAAUGUUGAAGUGACGGUAGGAGAGUGGAAAAUUACAAACAACUUUUUACCCUUGGAAUUAGGGGUGGUUGCACUCAUUGGGCAUGACUGAAUUUGAUAUGAAAAAUUUGGUGAUGACAUUCCGACAUGGAGGAAGGAAGAUAGAGAUAAAGGGGGACCCUAGUGUCACCAAAACCCAAGUGAGCCUAAAGUCUAUAAUUAAGACAUGGGGAGCUGAUAAUCACGGUUAUUUGGUAGAAUGUCGGGCCAUGGAGGGAAGGCUAGCUGAGGAAGGCUUAGAGGAUGAAGAAGUGCCAGCCACUGUUGACAACAUGAUCUCUCCUCUGUUGAGCAAAUUUAAUGAUGUUUUUGAUUGGUUGGAAGAGCUGCCUUCGAAGAGGAACAUUGAGCACCAUAUACCCCUUCAGAAGGGGGUGGAUCCAGUUAAUGUCAGACCUUAUCGUUACGCACAUCGGCAAAAGGAGGAAAUUGAAAGACUAGUUGAUGAAAUGUUGAAGACAGGCAUCAUAUGACCGGGUACCAGUCUGUAUUCCAGCCCAGUCCUUCUCGUGAAAAAGAAAGAUGAUAGCUGGCAAUUUUGUGUAGAUUAUCGGGAGUUGAACAAUGUCACUAUCCCAGAUAAGUUCCCAAUUCCGGUCAUAGAUGAGUUAUUCAAUGAGCUGAAUGGGGCCAACAUGUUUUCGAAGAUUUAUUUAAAGGCGGGUUAUCACCAAAUCAGGAUGCAUCUGAGAGGUGUAGAGAAGACGGCCUUUCGAACACAUGAGGGACACUAUGAGUUCUUGGUCAUGCCGUUUGAGCUAACCAAUGCCCCCUCUACGUUCCAAGCAUUAAUGAACCACAUCUUUAAGCCUUAUAUGAGAAGAUUCGUAUUAGUGUUUUUCGAUGACAUUUUGGUGUACAACAGGGGAGUAGAAGAACAUGGACAGCAUCUGGAAGUAGUCUUGGAGAUCCUUCGAGAGAAUGAAUUGUAUGUGAAUUUAGCCAAAUGUUGCUUUGCCAAAAGUAGAAUAGGUUAUUUGGGGCAUUUCAUAUCCGAAAAGGGAGCUAAAGUUGAUCCAGAAAAAAUAAGGGCAAUUAGGGAAUGGUCGAUUCCCACUAGUGUGCGAGAAGUUCGAGGUUUCUUAGGACUCAAUUGAUACUAUAGGAAGUUUGGGCAGAAUUAUGGCAGUAUCGAAAGCCCUUUGACACAGCUUUUGAAGACAGGAACUCAUUGUUGGACUGAAGAAGCAAGUGCUGCCUUUGAGAAGUUGAAGAUGGCAAUGAUGAUUCUACCGACGUUAGCUAUGCUGGACUUUAAUCUACCACUCGAGAUAGAAACAUAUGUAUCUUGUUUUGGUGUGGGGCCGUUUUAGUACAAGCCAAGAGACAAAUAUCCUUCUUUAGUAAAACCUUAUGCAUGUGGGAUAGAGCGCGACUGGUUUAUGAAAGAGAAUUGAUAAUAGUAAGUGUUUUGCGGUGCAAAGGUGGAGACCAUAUUUGUUAGGGAAGAAAUUUACAGUGAAAACUGAUCAGAAGUCGCUCAAAUUUCGGCUAGAACAAAGGGUGAUUCAACCCUAAUACCAAAAAUGGAUAGCCAAUCUUUUGGGAUAUUUCAUUUGAGGUAGUCUGCAAUCCUGGGAUUGGAGAAUAAGGCAGCCGAUGCUCUAUCUAGAACACCCCGUAUAGUGCACUUAAAUCAAAUAUCAGCCCCAACACUACUCGAUUUAGUGGUGAGUCAAGAAGAGGAAAAGAGGGAUCAAUACCUACAGGAAAUCCAGAAGAAAAUAGAAAGAACAAAAAGUGAAAGUUCCAAACUUUUCAGUACAGCAAGGGGUAUUGAAAUACAAAGGAAGGUUGGUGAUGUCAAAAACAUCCGUUCUACUACCCACUAUUCAUGCAUACCUAUUCAUGAUUUUGUCUUUGGAGGACAUUCAGGGUUCCUAAGAACGUACAAGAGGAUGACCGGAGAGAUUUACUAGGAAGGAAUGAAGAAAAACAUAAAGAAAUACUAUGAAGAAUGUCUUGUAUGCCAAAGGAAUAAAACACUUGCAUUAUUACCUGCUGGAUUGCUGCUGCCACUUGAGAUUCCUAACACAGUGUGGUCGGAUAUUUCCAUGGAUUUUAUAGAUGGACUUCCAAAAUCAGCUGGAAAAGAAGUGAUUUUUGUGGUUGUAGAUUGUCUGAGUAAGUAUGCACAUUUUUACAGCUAUAAAUCAUUCUUACAUGGCCAGCUUCGUAGCAGAAGUUUUUGUUAAAGAAGUGGUGAGAUUGCACGGGUAUCCGCAGUAAGUUGUAUCGGAUCAAGACAAAAUCUUUAUUAGUCAUUUCUGGAAGGAAAUGUUCAAGUUAGUGGGAACUAAAAUAAAUAGAAGGAAAUGUUCAGGUUAGUGGGAACUAUGCCCAUAUACACCAAGUUCGAAUAUAGAACUUGCUUCUUACUGAAAAAAUAAUGAUUAUUGGGACUUGCUAUAAAGGGUAUCCAAUACUCGAAGUAAAUGAAUGAUUACAAAAUGAUUGUUUCCUCAGUUUGAAGAAGAACAACAAAAAAGAAAAGAAGGAUAAAAAAAAAAAAAAACAAACUUUCUUUUUGAAAUUCUAAAAGAAUCCAAAAAGACUUCAAAAGGUGCAACCAAGAAAGGAGGUCAAAGAAGGGCUCUGAUAGACCCCCCUAUCAUACGUCAAUAUAGUCGAAAAAAAAAGAGAGAGAUCACAAGGGAACACACAUGCGAAGAAGAAAAGAUUUAAAGGACUGUUAGAAGAAAAGAUUUAAAAAGCUUGUUGGGCGUCGGUUAGAUUUGAGGAGAUUUAGGAGGGUCGUUAGGUGUUGAUUAGAAUAAAUAAGGAUAGGGAGGAAAGAGGAGGGUAUGCUGAGUUUAGAAGAAAAUUGACUCAUGCUCUUCCUUGAGCGAUAGGAUAGCAGAGAGGGAAUUAGAUUGUUUUUCGAAUUGAGUCCUCCUCAAUUUGAGUGUUCUGAUAUUUUGAUUUUCCUUGUAACUCAUUCUUUGAUUGAAGCAAUAAAAGUUCUAAUUGGAUUUCCAAAAGAGUUCUAUCAAAUUGGUAUCAGAGACAGUUUUUUCUGACCAAGAGGAAAAUGAUGGUCCAAACACGAAUGAAGGAGAGAAUGGAGGCGCACGACCAGGAGAUGCAUUUGAUGAGAAGCGAGAUAAGCAAAAUUUCGACAAUGAAAGAAAUAUUAGCCACGAUCAGCGUACAGACAAAGAAGACUCACAAAAUGUUGAUAAUGUUCAUGGAAUCGAUUACCAGAGAGCAUAUCGUUAUGAGUGAGAAAAUGGCCGAGUCGAGUGUGCGAGAGACAGUAUCAACAAUAACGAAUAAGAAGGAAGGCUCGAUCGAAAAGGACCAUGAGCACGAAACAAAGGAUGGAAAGAUAGAAGGAGAAGACGGAGCGAACGAGCAUAAUAAGUUCAAGAAGGUUGAGAUGCCAGUUUUCAACACGGAAAAUACCCAAUUUUUGACCCUUUCGAGCAGAUAGAUAUUUUCAGAUACACAAAUUGACUGAUGCUGAGAAGGUCCUGGUUGCGACCAUUAGUUUUGAAGGCCCGACGCUGAACUAGUAUAGGGCGCAAGAAGCACACGACAAGUUUACCAGUUGGUCGAACCUCAAGGAGAGAAUACUCAUCCGUUUUCAAUCAGCAAAAGAGGGGUCCAUAUGCGGACAAUUUUUUAGGAUCGGAUAACAGACGACAGUAGAAGAAUAUCGAAACCAGUUAUAUAAGCUGAUGGAACCGUUAUCCGAUCUACAAGACAGAGUGGUGGAGGAAACAUUCAUGAACGGUUUACUGCCGUGGAUUAAAGCAGAAGUGGAUUUUUGUCGUCCGGUCGACGUGGCUCAAAUGGUGCACGCGGCUCAACUCGUAGAAAAUCGAGAGAUAAUUCACAAUGAGGCCAACCUUAAGGGGUACGCCCAAGGAAAAUAUCCGCCUCAAGGUUCUAGGCAAAAUACGAGUGCUGCGACGGUGAACGAUAGCGACAAUAAGAGAAAUACAUUAUUUUCGAUGAGAACGAUUACUCUGAGAACGACAUCCAGAGAAGUUAAGAGAGGGGCAGGCAAAGCGAUUGUUAGACGCGGAGUUUUCAAGUCAGGAAGGAAAAAGGACAUUGUUUUCCGUUGUAAUGAGAUAUAUUAUCAUGAUCAUCGAUGCAAAAACAGAGGGCAAAGAGAGUUGAGAAUGUACGUGGUCAGGGCGAAUGAUGAAGAAUUUGAAAUCAUAGAAGAAGUGGGAGAAAAUGAAUUGUUUGGAAAUCACAUAAGAAGAUCAUGUUGUCAUCGAACUGUCAAUUAAUUCGGUGGUGGGGCUGAACAAUCCGAGGACAAUGAAGGUGAGGGGGAAUAUCAGUGAGCGAGAAGUUUUCAUUUUCAUUGAUUGUGGAGCAACGCACAACUUCAUCUCCGAAAAGAUAGUAAAGGAGUUACAACUGGCCACGAAGGCAACGUCGCACUAUGGUGUAAUCUUGGGCUCGGGGGAGGCGAUAAAAGGUAAAGGAGUAUGUGAGGACGUGGAAAUCAAGUUGAACGGGUGGAAGGUGGUGGAAAAUUUGUUACCCUUAGAAUUGAGAGGGGUAGAUGUUGUGUUAGGAAUGCAGUAGUUGUAUUCAUUGGGCAUGACGGAAGUAGAUUGGAGGAACCUCACAAUGACUUUUGUGCAACAAGGAGAAAAGGUAGUGAUAAGAGGAGACCCAAGUUUGACCAAAUCCAGAGUGAGUCUCAAGAACAUGAUCAAAAGUGUGGAAGGAUUCGUGAUCGAGUGCCGAGCAAUGGAGAGAGUCUUUGAGCCACAGGAAGAUAACGGGAUUGAAGAAGUAUUAACUACUGAUGAAGCAGUAUCGGUCGUGUUGAAGAAUUUUGAAGAUGUUUCUAAUUGGCCGAAGACACUACCCCCGCAAAGAAAUAUUGAACAUCACAUUCAUUUGAAACAGGGCACUGAUCUGGUAAAUGUUCGACCCUAUAGAUACGCUUAUCAACAGAAAGCUGAGAUGGACAAACUUGUGGAUGAGAUGUUGACAGCGGGAAUUAUCCGUCCCAGCAACAGUCCAUAUCUAGUCCAGUUCUAUUGGUAAUGAAAAAAGAUGGCAGCUGGCGUUUUUGCGUAGACUACCAAGCGCUGAACAAUGUAACCAUUCCAGACAAAUUCCCUAUUCCGGUGGUUAAGGAGCUUUUCGAAUGAAUUAAAUGAAGCAAACUGGUUUUCAAAGAUUGAUUUGAAGGUGGGGUACCAUCAGAUCAAAAUGUGUGGAGAAGACAUCGAAAAAGCAGCAUUCCGAACACAUGAUGGACACUAUGAAUUUAUGGUUAUGCCAUUCGGCUUAACUAAUGCCACAUCCACUUUCCAAGCUCUGAUGAACUCAACAUUCAAACCAUUUUUGCAGAAGUUCAUAUUAGUGUUUUUCGACGACAUACUAAUCUACAGUGAGAACUUGGAACACCAUUUGAAGCACAUUGGGUUAGCAUUGGAAAUCCUGAGAAAGAAUGAGUUAUAUGCAAACAAGAAGAAGUGCAGCUUCGCACAAGAACGUAUUGAUUAUUUGGGUCAUAUCAUUUCAAGACAAGGAGUUGAAGUGGACCUUGAGAAAAUCAGAGCAAUCACGGAAUGGCCUAUACCCAGUAAUAUAAGAGAGGUACGGGGAUUCCUAGGCCUCACCUGUAACUAAAGAAAGUUCGUUCAGCACUAUGGCUCCAUUGCCGCACCAUUGAUUCAACUACUUAGGAAAGGGGGAUUCCAGUGGACUGAGGAGUCUAAGGAGGCAUUCCAACAACUACAAAAUGCGAUGAUGACCCUGCCCGUUUUGGCGUUGAAAAAAUUUCAAUGCCACAUUUGAAAUGGAAACCGAUGCAUCGGGAUAUGGGGUAGGAGUCGUACUCGUCCAAGCCAAGCGUCCCAUAGCAUACUUUAGUCAUACGUUAGCCUCAAGAGAUAGAGCCAAGCCUGUACAUAAAAGGGAAUUAAUGGCAGUGGUCUUGCAUGUGCAACGAUGGCGACCAUAUCUGUUGGGGAGAAAAUUUAUUGUGAAGACCGAUCAGAAAUCCUUGAAGUUCUUGUUAGAACAAAGAGUGAUACAGCUUCAGUAUCAGAAAUGGGUAGCGAAGCUAACGGGAUACUCAUUUGAGGUGGUCUACAAACUCAGCUUGGAGAAUAAAGCAGUAGACGCCUUGUCUUGGAUGCCUCCUACAAUUAACCUCGGUAGCAUAACAGCUCCUACAUUGGUUGACAUUCUGGUGACUAAAAAGGAAGUCAAAGCGUAUGAAAAAUUAAGCAAAAUAAUGGAAGAACUACAAGCAAUGGAAGAAGUAACAGAGGGUAAAUUCUCCAUCCGACAAGGUAUGUUAAGAUAUAAGGAUAAGUUUGUGUUGUCCAAAACAUCUACAUUGAUACCCACAAUCCUACAUACUUACCAUGAUUCGGUACUUGUGAGGAAUGUGUAAUAUGUCAGAAGAACAAGUCCCUAGUGUAACGAGCAUACUUGUCCAAGGUGUGUUUACCUAUGGCCGUAUGCUCCGAUUAGCCCCAAUUUACCUUGUCUUUAUGUCUUGCACGUAGCUUAGGUAGUUGCUUUCAAUUUCAAGUCGAUAUGCUUGGGUGUGACGUUUCGGCAUUUUCAUAUGUUAAAAAUGUACUAUAGGGGAGGCAUACCUGUUGAAUCCCUGCCCAAGCCUUGUCGUACUCUUUGCAGUCUAUGCUUUCUUAUUGCAAUUGACAGUCUUCAAUGCUUGUUUUAACAACGUUUUCAAUCAAUUUAAUCAUCUUUCAUGUUUUCUAAAACUAUUUUUCCAAGAACGUGAGGGGAGGUUGAAGUAUGUGUUAAAGUUGUCUGCGAUUUGCAGAUUUUGAUCGGCUGACUUGUUCGCCGAGCUAGAACAAGUGCCGCACAAUCGUUCACAAUCGUGUAUGGGUUUCGUAAGGGUUACACAGUAAAGGAAGAGUAAGAAUUUGAGUGGAGAAACUCCAAAUUGGGAUCAACACGUGGGCAACAACAUGGCUUCUCACCAACAUGAGAACUCAAAAGAGACAGCAGAUAUUCUAGAGAAGCCAAUGAACUCUUGGGAUGUGAAUCUGCACUUUCCUGCAAUAGUUUGAGUGUGAAUUAGUUCUCUGAAAACACCUGCAGAGGAUAAUCCACGGCAAAACAGAAUAACUAUAAAAAAACCACUUGCAAGUAGAAGAAAAAGGAAGUACAUUUAUACCUUCCCUGUCAAAGUGAUAUCCCUCAUCAACGGAUAUGCAUUUCUUUCCAGGAAGUAGCCAACAAUUUUACAAACCCAUGGGAGUUUAGGUUGUAAUAAGAAAACAAUUGUGUCCAACAAUAGAGUUGCAGGUGUGUUAGAGUUCACAGGUGCAGCCAAAAGUUGAUUCCUCAAUUGGUUUCUAUCAAGAACAACAUCAAGUAAGAAUAAUUCGGAGGAAAAAUAAAGGCAACUUAUCAUAUAUAUAAAUAUGAUUAGUCUGAAUUCGUUUGCGGAAGGUAAAAAAACCUUUAUGUCAAUUAUAUAUAUCUGAACAAAAUCUAAGAAAUAUAUCACUUUUCAACAAAAGAAAUAUAUCAUAUACAAUUAAAGGAUCAUAGCAUAGAAAGCCAACAAAAUCAACAAUGAUAGAUCAAACAUCUGUUUUUCCAUUCAAAACGUUAAAAAGGAUAAGUUUUUAAUAAGGAAUGUUGAAAUGGAAAAAACUAAUUACCUAUUAUGGUGUACAAUCUGGAUGCAAGCAUAUGCAAAUUUCUUAACUCUGUAAUCCACUAAGGCCUUGUUAAGUACAUAAUCCUUGCUAGCGAAAAUGCUCAACAUAUCCCCUAUAUAUGUAAGAGAGAGAAAGGUUAGAAAGUACUAACACUAAGAGAUAUGUGCUAUCAAUUAGAAACACUUUAAGAUGACAUUAUCAAUUAGAAAACCAAGUAUUAAGCAACAUAAGGGAAAAUAACAAACAAGGGCACCACAGUGGUUCAGAAACCAAUCAAUAUUUCCAUUUGUCACUUUUAUAAUAAUUUCCCAAGGGAAAAUCCUCAUAAUAAGCUUGAGUACCACCUAAUAACGUGUUCAAAUGUUACCAUAAGCAAAAAUGAGUGAUCCUAAAAUUCAUAUGACAAGGAAAGUCGUCAACUAGCAACCGCCAAAUAACAGUUAUAUGGCUAGAAUUAGUUUUCUCCAACUUCAAGAAAAUAAAACAUAUUAAAACAAAAGGAAUUAUGGUGCAAAAUAAUGAAUAUGCUGCAAAGGUAAGAAGUUUCUGAAGGUAAAAAUGGUCAAUAAAAAACAACAUAUAAUUUGACGUAAAUCAAAGUAGAAUUAUUUCUCGCAAUGAAUUCUCUGCCAAUAAUGGCUAAGAGAAGGGGUAUUUAUUGAGAAUUAGUUGGCCAGGCAGAAAUCAUCUAGGGCAUAGUAUUGUUUUAGGUCUGCGACAUUAAAAACAUAAUGAAUGUGUAAGUCUGGUGGUAGUUCUAUUUUGUAAGCAUUAUCUCCGAUCCUCUUUAGGACACGGAAUGGUCCUAAUUGUCUGUCUUUUAGUUUGUUGUAUGUUUCGGUUGGAAAUCGAUUUUUUCUUAGGUGAAUCAUUACUAAAUCUCCCUUGGUAAAGGUAGUUUGUCUUCUUUUUCUGUCUGUUGCGUCUUUGUAGGACUGAGUUGUUUCUUUUAGGUGAUUGUGGACUUCUUCGUGUAAAUUCUGGAUUUUUUCUAUCAUCUUUUCUGCCUCUGAUAGUUAGGGAACUCAACACAUUUUACUUGACCUAACCAAGAUGGCUCUUUGUAUGUAUAUUGCAUGUGUUGUUUGUUUUUUUCUAUAGCUCUUGAUUGUCUCACUUUUUUACGUUUUGCAUUUGCAAUUCUCUUUUCUUUCUUUGGUAUGCAAUGUGGUAACAAGGUCUUGCUAGAACCGGUGGGCUAACCUUUCUAUGGUUCUAAACUUAGUUUCUAAGUUUGACUGCUCCCUUCGGAGUGACAACAAGCCUCGUUUUUCUCCCUACUAUGGAACGGGGAGGAUUCAUUUUCUUUUCAAAGCCCUCGUCAAACUCAAUGCUAAGUUUGACUGCUCCCUUCGGAGUGACAACAAGCCUUGUUUUCCCCUAAUGUGGAUCGGGGAGGAUUCCUUCUCUUUUCAAAGCCCUCAUCAAACUCGAUGCUGUGUUUAGAACGCUAAGAGUAGGUGGUCUGGUUUUGGUUAGGCCAAAAGUGAAGUUUUCCCCCAUUUUUUAUGGGCUUUUUCUAAUGUAUAUUGGAUAUGUUGUUUGAUUUUUUUUAUAGCUCUUGAUUGUCUUACUGUUUUAUGUUUUGCAUUGUCAAGUCUCUGUUUUCUUUCUUUGGUAUGCAAUGUGGUAACUAGGUCUUGCUAGAACCGGUAGGCUAACCUUUCUAUGGUUCUACAUUUAGUUCCUAAUUAAGUUUGAUUGCUCCCUUCGGAGUGACAAUAAGUUUUGUUAAUGUCGACCCUUUUCUAAAGGGAUUUAGUUCACUGUGGCUAGGCAAGAGGUUUCUAACUCAUGUUUGACAAGACAAAUUUGUUAAAACCAUCUUAGUUUCUAAAGAGUGCCUCCUAUCCCUUUUUUACUCUAUCUAGGCUAGGUUUGGACUAAGUGCAUCAUAGGUAAGUCACGACAAAGCAACAAAGGAAGACAAAGCUAGAAAAGUAUUCAUGCACUUAUUUAUUAUACAUGCAAUCAAGCAUUCACAACAUACAUACCAUUUUCUCAAUCAUGCAUUCACACCUCAAUAAGAAAUAGCUAAAAGGAGCUUACAACAAAAAAGACAGCCGCUUAUUCUCAAAUUUCAGCACAUAUACUCAUCAAAAUUUAGAAUUUCACAUUGCAAACCCGAGCUCAGUGCUCAAGGGUUGCCAAUCAUGCUUUUUAUGCAAGAUCUAAUUAAGCUAAGAAGGUAUAAUGCUCAUUUUGUAUGGAAAGAAUUCUGAAAUUUUUUUUAAAUUUGGGCAAAAUUUGAACCCCGAAGUUUAGACUAAACAUGCAAGCUAAGCAAGCUAUUACCCACACCCACUCAAAAAAUUGCUUUGUCUGUCCUAAAAGCUUUUGAAAAUCAAAGUAAAUGGAGAAAAAUAAGGGGGAACUUUGGACUCCCCUAGAAGGAUCGACAUCCUUGACUUUGGUUUGAAGCUUGCAUGGAUAAACCUUUUCAUUCCUUUUUAAUUGAUUAUUCAUCCUUGUUCCUGAAAAUCAAAGGAAAUUCUCUCAAUUUUAUAUAUUACUAAAAUUAGGAUACAUAUAAGUCUUAACUAGUCUAAUAGCACCCUCCAUUCAUCUUCCCCUACACUGGCUAUGGUAUCAAAAUUUUCAAUUAAGUAAUACGUCUACUAACGAACUUGAAAACAAAACACAUCACACUAAAAAACACAAACAUCACUUUAACCCAACAGAAGCUGCUCUUUUUACCCUUGCACUCACUAUCACAUUACUAUCAUGUUUGUCAACUGUCAAACUAACUCUUUUAAGUUAUUUAGUGUGACUACAAAGUUAUGAACACCAUAAUCUUAAUUAAAACCUUUUAAUAAACAAAUGCCAAGUUACUACUCAACAAUGGCAAGGAAUUCAAAAAACAUGACUGUAACGACCCAACUUUUCUAGGUAAGUCGAAGUCAUUAAUUUCAAAUAAGGACCUGAGUUUACACAAAAUCUCAAUCUCAAACAAUUUCAAAGUCUCAAGAAAAACAAAAAUUUAUACCUGGGCCCGGUUUAAAAUAACCAGCACCUUCAAGACAAAUUUACUAAUUCGUGAAUACAGUUCAACUAUAAAAUUUUCUAAACAAUCUCAAGUACUAAACAAAACACGUGAAACAAAACAUUUAGCGGAAGCAAUUUAAAAUAACCCCUAUGGCAAUCACGCUUCCUUUCUGCCCCUCGUCGGUUUGCCGUCUUUAUUACCUUUGCCUGAAAAUUAAACAUAAGGAGGGUGAGUAUAAAAAUACCCAGUACGAGACCCUCUACUGGUCCCGUCAGGGGAAAAUAAAUUGUUAACAUUCUAUUGGGACACCCUGUACAGUCACAGUCUUGUGAUCCCGUAGGAGGCACAUUUCAGUCUAACGCCCCGAGGGACGUACAUUUCAGUCUAGUGUUCUGCAGAAACACAUAUCAGUCUAAUGCUCUUGAAGGUGCAGAAUAAUUGGUGAUCCGUGUGACACCUACAAGGCACACAUCCCAAUAAAAGCUAACAAUUUUUCCCCUCAGUCCAUUCUAAACAUCUUAACAGUCAUUCACAGAUCAGUUAAACAUUCUCAUCACGUAAACUCUUUAUUUAACCUCAAACAGUCGUCUUACUCUAGUUUAGUCCAAGGUCAAUAAAAAAACAUAUCAUUACAUCAGUUAACAAGCUAAACAAUCAUAACCUCCUCCUCAGUCACCAAGGGCACCACCAUGACGUUUCUUCCGUUCACAAGCACACAACAUAACAGUAGAUUAUACACUCAGUCUAGACAACAAUCAAUCUACUAAUCAAAUCCACACUUUAUAUAAGCAACAUCUACGAGAUUCAGUCGUUUCCACAUCCUUAUCUUUGUACACAUACAUAACUAGACAGUCACAACAUAUACUCAACCACAGUCUACAUCAAUCCAUGCACAUAUAUGUAUUAAUUUCUCCCAGUCAAACAUAGCAAACAUUAAACUUUAAGUCAAUGCCCAAACAUACAUCAUAACAGUCAUCUCUACUCAGUUCAAAUCAAUACAUCUUAAUUAGUCAUUAUAUAUUAAUUUUGUUGUUGAGUCUAGUAGAAAAUCCCUUACUUUCAAGUUAGUUAAGCUCCUUAACCACGUUGAAGUCUACGAAGAACGAACCUAAACAUUAAGACAAUUUCUCAAUAAUUCUCUUCAACGCAUCAAUCAUUUAAAUUCAACCCAAUGUGAUUUUUUUUUUACAACUUACCCAAAUCUUCACAAAACGAGUUCCAACUAGAAUCAAUUGUUUGCUGCGAACCCAAUGAAUUCGAGUGUUACCUUCAACCUAUAAUCGAACAGUAAACUAUUUAUCCAACCAAUUAAUCCAGCAAUAUUACUUGAGUUUAUUUUGGAAACAGUUACAAAUUUCAUAACUUCAAUCUUACCAAUCAAAAUUUAAUGACUCGUGGCAAAGCAGGAACGACAGCGAACAACCCAAUCGAAUGGCGUGGGUUUGCUACCUGCGGCAGGACGAAGAAGGAACUCGACGCGCAGAAAGUUGGAUCUGGGGUCUUUAGUUCGGUUCACGGUAGCGAAUUAAAACCUGAUUGCGCGGACGUCAAAGGUGUUAUUCGCGGAAGAAGUCGAGCAGCAGCUUUGCGAAGAGACGACGUGCGACGGAGAGACUGUAUACAGACGGACGGAGAGUCGCGCGGCAGUGCAGAAAACGGAGGAGAAAGGAAUGGGCGGCGGCUGGGCUUGGCUUCGACGGAGACAGAGGCGAUUAGGACGGGGCACGGCGACGCAGAUCUGGACGACGGCGCGGAGACAGAGGUUGCGCGGCGCUGGGCAGAGGGUCAAACGGCGCUGGGCGAAGGGUCACACGGCGCUGGGCGGAAGGUCACACGGCGGCCUUGCUUCGCGAACAGAGAUGGCGGCCGACGGUUGCAGCGGCGGCUGGGUAUGGUAGAAAAGAAAGAGAAACGGAAGAAGAAUAGGGGCGGCGACCGUGGAUCGGAGAAGAAAAGAAGGAUGAAAGCGAUGGUGGUCGGUUGGAGGGUGCGGCUGGAGGUAGGGAUCGGUGAAGGAGAAAAUAGAAAAAGAAAAUGAAGGGGAAAUGGGGGUUGCGCGCGGGAGGAAGAAGAAAGGAAAAAAAAUUCUUUUUUUUUUUUCUUUUCUUUUAUUUAAAUUAAAUAAUAAAACUAAAAUAUAAAUAAAUAUAUAUAUAAUUAUAUUAUCACAUUUUCAAAUCUUCUUUCUCCCCCUUCAUCAUAUUUUCUUCAAAAAAAUAAAUCUUGUACAAAUCGAAUAAUUUUCUUAAAAUAAAUUACCUUCGAGUUUGGGGCGUUACAAUGACAGCUAUAUUGUAACUUGGCACUUGGGGACUUUAAUGGUGUCAAUAUUGUAACUUCUGGUGCCAUGACAAAUAUUGGUGACUGUCAAGAUAAGUUCGCAUAGCCACCGAAAGAUACAUCGUUGCUUUUGAAGAAUGACAAGACUCUAAAUGAUAUAUGCAGCAUUAUUUUGGUUAUAUCCAAUCUUCUUUGAAGGCUAUGUACUUGAAGAUUUUAAUCAAUAAAUAAAAUGAAGUUUAAUUUUUAAAAUAAUAACAUUACAAUGGGAUGGCGAUUGGAAUUGAUUACUUUGGUUAAAAUUUAAGAUUAGAUUAAAAAAAUCAAUUAAUAGAUAAUUCCAUCCAAUCAAAAUAACUAAAUAAAAGACGAGAUUUGAAAAUAUAAUAUCCUAAUAGACACUAAUAGACUUAUAUUAAUAGAUAAUUUCCUGCCGAUGAAAAAUUACUAAAGUUGUACUAUAUUUUAUAAAUAUUUCAAAACAUUACAUAAACACUAAUUAAAGUUGGGUUUAGUAGCAAAAGGUUACAAAUUUAUUGACACCUUUUUUAGGAAAAAAAAUACCUUGACAUGAUGUAAACUAAAUUUGUAAUCAGCAUUGAAAUCUUUACUAUACUAAAUGGGCUCGUGGAGAAAAAAUUAUAUACAUCUAUUUUAUUCUUAAAUUGUCGAAAAAAAAUUAUAUUACCUUUUGUGAUCUAACGUAGUUGUGACUUUUAUAGUGUAAGUGUCCAUUUUAAUGUUUGGAAAGAUGAUUUUUCCAAUUUUUUAGUUUACAAAAUAAAGUUCUAUAUUUCAUAAAAUAAAACCUUAUGUUGAAUAUAUGUAACUAAUGUUGAUAGGAUGUGAUUGGUUGAUCUUCAAGAUACGAUGCAUUCUGUUUAGAGUGGAGAUGGUUGCACACACAUCAAAUUGGUGCAUUGAUUCCUCCAAAUUUACAUGUGAAAUGUAAAUGUAAAAGAAAAACAAAACAAACUCUUGCAGUUACACAUUAGGAAAAAAAAACGUCACGAAAUUCCAAAGUUCAAAAGAAAACAAACAUACACAGGGAUUUAAUUGAUUCAAAGUAGUAACAAAUGGUGAAAAAAUGCAUAAUUUGUUGUGAUUUCACAUUAACAUGUUAGAAUAAAAAAUUAUCGUAUUCUAUAUAUUACAAUAUUGGAUCAAAUAUUAAUACAUUAAUUUAAUUAUUUAAUUACUACAUCAAUGAAUUUCUUUUUCUUUUUUAAAUAAUAAUUUUACCAUUAAUAUUAUAUAAUAUUUGUUUAUUAUAUGCUAAAGCAUAUUUAAAAAUUAAAUAGAAUUAAGAGAUUUCACGUGAAUUUAUGCACAUGUUUCAACUGAAAAGAUGGAAACAAUAGUCACAAAUUAUUUUUUCCUAAAACAAAACAUUCGUAACCAAAUCUAAAUAUGCACUUUCAUAACUAAGGACCAAAACUCAUAUUACGUAGAAUUGAGCAUGGUUUAAAUGAAAUUAUUAACAAAAUACUUACACUUUAAACCAGGUUUUUUGGCAACAUACAUAGUGAGAAAAUUCCAAAUUUACCCUCUUACUUGUAUCUUUUCAAUAAAAAGUGCAUCUUAGUUGUAAUUAUGUCAAAAUAAAAAUAAAAAAAUAACUCGUCAGUUAACGUGGUUAUUCAUUAAUUGAUUUGGGUGAACUUUCUGAAGAUAAAAAUAACAAAAACAAACAAACAAAAGACUAGAACAUGUUAUUUAAUUAUGUAAUUACAACUUCCCUUUCUCCUCCGUGAGAAAAAAAACCAUUUCUCUAAAUUUCAUCUAUAUAUGUGUAUUGAUCAAAUGACCCAUAUCAAUAAGGACACAAAAUUGGCAAAGAACAAAUAAAUUAAAAUGGACAAUAACUCUUGUUUCAUUACUUUCUCUCUCAUUGGAGUUCUUUUGUUCACCAUCAUUUCAAAUGUGGCAUCAUCUAACGACGUUGUUUCUACCAUCUGUUCAGAAAUCUCAAAUCCACAAUUUUGUUUAAGUGUGUUGAAAUCUGCAGGCACUACAGAUCUAAAAGGCUUGGCUGUAUACACCUUAAACCUUGCUCAUUCAAAUGCUGGCAAAUCUUUGAUCCUAGCCAACUCACUAGCAAAAGCCACCACCAAUCCUCAACUUAAGCAACGAUAUUCAUUUUGUGCUGAGAGCUAUGAUGAAGUUGUUGGUGACAUUGAAAAUGCUCAAAACGACUUGGCACUUGGGGACUUUAUUGGUGUCAUUAUUGCAACUACUGGUGCCAUGACAACUCUUGGUGAUCACUGUCAGAAUAAGCUCUUGCAGCCGCCGAAGGAUACAUCGUUGCUUUUAAAGAAUAGCAACACUCUAGAUGAUAUAUUUAGCAUUAUUAUGGUUAUAUCCGAUCAUCUUUGAGGGUUAUGUACUUGAACAUUUUGAUCAAUAAAUAAACUGAAGUUUAAUUUUUAAAAUAAUAUUACAAUGUGAUGGUGAUUGGAAUUGAUUACUUACUUUGAUUAAACUUGAGAAGAUAAAGAAAAUCAAUUAAUAGAAACGUUCACCGACACACAUUGUCAGCACGUCGGAGAAAGCCUAAACUUUUUUUUCUUUUCUUUUACGUUCUGUUUUCUUUUCUUUGUUUGCCAUCAUCAUCGUCAUCUUCUUCUUCUUCUAGCUUCUUACGUUCUGUUUCAAUUGCAUACUUCUGUUAUUCUUGUAAUUUCUUCGUGGUUUUCUUUUUAACUUUGUGUUUCAGUGUGGAUUCAUAAACACAUUUUUCAGUGCUCUGGAUUCUGGAUCUGUUAUGAUUUGAAAGGGUACAGUGAAGUGAAAAGUUGAAAUGGAAAAGAAAAAAAAGAAGAAAAGAGGACACUUCUCGCGGUGGUGGCGGCAAAGACUGACGUCGACGACAACACAACUCUCCUCCUCUCCCUAUAUCUCGGCCGAUUUUGGGUUUAUUUUCGUUUUGCAUUCUGUUAUGUGUAGAAGGGAGAAUAAAUAGUGUGGACUUUCCCCGACAUCUUCGAAAACGUUGGGAAAUUUACCUUUUCGCCGACGUAUGUAGUACACACGUCGGAGAAAGUUUAAAUAAUAAAUUCAUUAUUUAAACUUUCCCCGACGUACUCCUGUCAUACGAGUCUAAAUUAAAUUUAAUGCGUUCUCCUUCGGCGAUGUGUGUCAAGGUGACGUUGGAAAAAGUUUAAACACUAAUGCAAUUAUUUUAAAUCACAUAUGUUAUCGCUUAUAUGGCAUAAGAGUCUAUUAACGAUAGAAAUCUAUCUUGAUAGGUUUUGCUACAUUUACAAUUUUUAAAAAAUAUUCUUAUAUACUUAACUAUUAUUCCUAAAAUUGCUAACCCAUUAUACUUACCCUAAGUUAAAUGUAUAAUGUCAAAAGUAAGUUUACUACGAAGGUAAUCUAUGUGACCCUUUUAUCCUAACGUAGGAAGUUUGUUCCACUCCAUACCAUUAUUGAACUAAAAGGAUUAAGUGUGUAUUAAUAUGUUUAAACAAGUAUAAUUAUAGCAAAAUCUAUAAGUGAUAUAUUGAUAUUAGCAAUACAAUACGCGUCACAUAUGCAAACAUUUUGUGUCUAAUCGUUGUAUUUACAAUUAACUCCAUUAAAAUAUUACAAAUAGAAAUAGAACUCUUUAAUCUAUGUUCAGUUAGGAUCACAAACUACAAAAUGAAAGCAUGGAACAAAUUUAAUUUUUUUUUUCUUUAAAGGAAAUUUUGUGUGUAGCACAUUAUAUUUUUUUCUUUCCUUUAAAAAACAUUAUUGAUCUUAUGAUAUUUGACAUAUAUUAUAUUUUUUUAAGAAUGUAAAUAAUGUAAAUAAUGUGCCAAAUAAUUGAAAACAUGUUAUCCAAAACAGAGAAUGGUUAAGAAAUUGUUGACAUUUAGUCAAAUUAAUAAAUAAUUCAAAAUUGUGUUUGAUUUUUGAAUUUGAAAAGAUAGUAAAUUAGAAGUGUUUUGAAAUAGUAUUUACGAGAAGAUUUUUAAUUUUAAAUAGCAUUAUAGUAGCUAUGGAUGGUUAUAUAAUAGUCUACACAAUCUUUGUCACAAAUGAUUAAUUCGAUUUUUUAAAUCAAGUCUAAUGUUUUUUUUUUUUUUUUUUGCCUAUUUCUUACCAUAAUUUACAUUUUUUGUAAGUAUAAUGGUUGAAUGCAAAAAGAGAGCUGACUAGUAAGUGCAAAAAGAGAUCUCACAAGCUUCUGCAAAAGCUAAUCAAGCAACCCAAAUCAUAAACGAGGAGAAAAGUUGAUUGGUUAAGCUUUGUUGUAGUAAAGAAGUCAAAGUGAACAUGGAACGUUCUUCACUCUCAAAGAACAUCGCCAACAUAUAGAUUAUAUACUUUUUCUGGUAUUGACCCAAAAAACACAAUCCAAGUGUAUUUUUGGUGAGAUGCAUAGUUUAACUAAACCGUGUUAUUACAAAAUUUUUAAUUACUAGGAACUCCUAAUGAAACGAAUACAUUAUUUUUAUAAUUACGAGGUAAAAUGGAAACAUACAAACUACUAAAAAAAGUUGCAAUUCGAUUAUUGGGAUUCAAUCUACUCUCCAUGAAUGUUCUUGAAAUGAGAGUUUUUAAGCAGCUACAACUUGCUUAUGUAUAAAAGCAAAACCCUUCUCAACGCCUACCUUCAGUUUUGGCUUUAGAGCUUCAAGUGAUUUUUGCCCCUACUCAGAUAAACCCUGAAGAUCAGAUGUUACAAAGGCUUCAAUUCCACAUGCAAAAAUCAUGUUCAUGAACCAAAAGCACCUUAAGCUUCUCUUCGAUAUCUUUGAGCUCACUGGAUAAAGAACUGAUUUCUAAAGCAAUCAUCUCUACCAUAUCCUCAUCGUUCCCACUGUCUUUUAAUAAGGUUGGCAUGAUAAUCACAACAAAGAAGAAGAAACUAAGAUCAAUUUAACAAAUUUUAUGUUGGGAAACUUUUUUAAGAACAACUACUUAUAAACCAACCUUAGCUUUGGCCUCACAUUCCUUGAAUUUUCUAAAAGUAGAUACCACCUGUCCGGGCAACCCACACCAACCAACCAAGAGUAAGUUAGUGUGAAAGACACUUAUUUAAUGAAGAAUAUGUAAAAGAGGUCAUUCCAACUGUUACACAUAAUAGUAUUGGAGGCAGAUAACCUUGCCAUACCUCAUCAAGUUCUGAUAUUGAUUGAGCUAGUUUUUGAUACUCUGUGGGGUUUGAGACAAUAUCUGGAUUGACCAGCUUAACCUAAAUAAUAAUAUCGAUAGUGAUUAUUGUGUAGGAAAAUAUUAAAGCUAUAACCAAAUCAAAAGCAUAAUUGGAAAUACAUCAAAGAUGUAAAUGCAAAUUUCAAAAGUGGAUCUACAGAAUGUAAGGGGAAGAAACUCAAAUAAAAUUACUUUAUUAGUUAUACGACUACUAUAGAGAUUCCAGAUACACCACAGUUCCACGUCCUCUUUCAGGAGGAAAGCAAUGGUUAAAAAUUAAUUGUGAAAACUAAAGAAGGUCCUGUUCAAAUCCUAACAGCAAUAGGAAAGCAAGGAGUUAUAAGGUGAUCACUAUAGCCAAAUCCAAAAUGCAUUCAAUAUUUGUCUUCCAAUUUCAUUAUCAAGUGCAUAGGCAAGGUCCCUAGUGAGGAAGUUAUUCGUUCUUUUCUUCAUUUUCUAUAGCUCUAGAAGUAGCUAAAUGGAAUCGUCAAGCACCUAAUCUAUUAAUUUUAAAACUCAAAAGUUCACCGCGGGAUUCUAGUCACUGCUGAAACAACAUAGAGUUCACUAGUUCCACAGUUAAAUUAAUUGCAAAUUGCAUUUCCUGGCAUUUUCAAGAAAAAAAAAAUGCACAAAUCAUAAUAUGAUGAAGUAGAAAAAUUUUGUGAGCUCGACUUUUCCAGGACAUAUCUUAGCUACUUCUCCUAUUCCAGCUCGAUAACCAUUGUACUUUAACAAUUGAAACAUUAAUCCAAUAGUUAACAAUGUUCUGCACUUUAUGCCCUUACAUUUCCAACAACUUGAUGCAUACAUCAGUAGUUAACACAGGCACGAGCUCUUAAAUUCAAUGCAAAAUAACAGUCCCAUUCCAAGCAUAGACACCAAAUACAAACAAUUGAUGGACUUGAAUCAGUGAAGAAAUAAGAAUGUCAUUUAACAGCAAAGCACAAAUUACCGAUAAUUUUUUCCACGUCUUCUCAGCAGAUUCCAAUUUCACGAUCAAAUAAGGUUCCUAAAAUAAAGCAAUCACCAUCAUCAUUUUCCACAAAUAUGAUUCGAACUAGUUUUACCACAAAUUAAUUUCUAGUAACUUGAAGAAAAACUCAGUGAACUCAAAGCAUAACGAAACUCAAGUUCUGUUAAAGCCAAUCCGAACAAUAAGAUAUAGACAUAUUGUGUUCUCGAAAGAAAAACAUUCAAUAAAUCUAACAGCCAUGCAAAUUAGAGUUGAAGCUCUAAAGGGAGGUGCAAAGCAUUUAAGUUCCAGAGAGCAUCUUCUGAAGGCGAUGAGCCCAUAAGAUGAAAAAAAGGCCUCAAGUGAGGAAGAAAGACGCCAUCCAAACAUGAAAAAAGGAAGAAAGGCAAGAUUUUGGUAGCUCCAGACCUGAGGGAAGCCAACAAGGUGGCGAGGGAGGCAAGGCCCCAAAGUUUAGCAUUGCCAGCAAAGUGAAGGUAGAGAAGGACCUUUCCUUUCGACGUGGCCCUCCGAGAGUUUAUGGACGCCCCAAUUGGGGCGUUUGGAUGGAGUAAGUUCUUCAAGGGACUUCCAAGAUUCGAUGGAGGUUGUCAAGAAAUUCUACGCAUCAGAUUACAACCACUACAAGGAAUUUCAGAUCAACCAACACAAUUUAACACUAUUGGGAGAAUCCACGAAUUCUUGGUCAAGUAGAAGAACCUCCAUGUGGAAGAAACAAAUUGUGAACGUGUCGAAGACCUUGAAGUGUGGAAAUGGAAGAUCAAAGAGUUCCAGCUUCGCCAGUCGACAGGGACGUCAACUGUUUAAGUAGGGGAGAAUGUCAAGAGCAUGCUUGUCCAAGGCAUUGUUUGCCCAUGGCCGCAUGGCCGAACAUCCUCAAACCGCCUUAUAUUUAUGUCUUAUACUUAGUUUAGCCAUUUUGUUUCCUUUUGUUGUCGCCGACCUAGGGUGUGACGUUUCAAAAUUUUCAUAUGCAAGUCUGUCAUAGCUAAAAAUGUUUAAAAUGUACUAUAGGGAAGACAUAGUAGUUGAAUCCCUGACCAAGCCUUGUUGCACUCUUUGCAUUCUAAUCUUUCUUUGCAAUUAACAGUCUUCAAUGCUUUCUUUAACGAUGUUUUCAAUUCUUUUCUUCUCUUCUUGUCUUAUAAAAAUAAAUUUCUCUCAAAACAUGAAAGAGGCUAUACCGUACUGCGUGCUUUUUGCGACUUCUGGAUUUCAUACAGCUUACUUGUUCACCGAGCUAGAACAAACGUCGCAUAAUCACCAUCCCCUAUUUGAAAAUUUACGAUUAUGACAGCAUGCGGUGAGGUGCACGCGGCAUGUGUGGGCCCAAGCCAAGCAUGCAACUGGCAUUCUGAUACUCUAUGCACGUGCAUGCUGCCUGCGCCCAUGCCGUGCAGCCAGCAUUGUCAUGACGUAGUUUUUGGGAUGUUUGGUGUUUUGGGAAAUUUUGAGCAAAUUCUGGAUGUUCGAGCAUGCGGAUGUUCUAUGCAAUGCAACCAGCAGCCCAUAUGUUCUAUGUUCUCUUUACGGUCGUAUGUGCACAUUUGGUUAACUCUACUACUAAUGGGAAAGUUGACGAGCCUAUGCUGAAUUCAUCAGGAAAGGUGUACUUUGUUGAGCCCAUUGAGGAGAAGGAUACCUUCUUUUUUCGAAGAGGUGUUUCAAUGCCUAGGCCGUCUUUUGACAAUGAGGUGUUAAUAUUACCUAGACUUCAUGCUAAGAACGGGUUGUGAAUUUAUAAUCAAGAAUGCAGUUCGAGUAUCAUGUCUUUCAAAUGAUUUCCAACAGCUUGAAUGUUUCUAUAAGACAAGAAUUUAUGCUUAACUGUUUUAGAAAGCAUGUUUUAUAAAAAUUGUCACUCACUAAGUCUUUCGACUUAUCCUUUCAAAUCAUUUCUCACUUUUCAGGUAUGGAUUAUGCAUUCCCUAAUGUUAAGCGUAUUGCUGCUGAGCCAACCAGUUACUAGAAAUUGUUAAGUCAUUUUGAAAGUUAGUUUUGACUUUGUAAGAAAAGUUCAGGAUGAGCAUGUCUAUGUUUAUUGUUAAAGUUCCAAUGUUAUAAGUUAGUUUAGUAAAAAGGUCACUGUCAUGUUUAAAGCUUCUGCUGAUGUAUCACAAUAGUUGUAACUAGUGGUUUAAGUUAUUAGUAAAAGCAUGUAGCUUGUAUCGCUGUUUGUUUUGAGCAUGCAUUCAUGUUGUAACUGGUAGUUAAGUUAGAAAGGUUAGUCGGUUGGUAAGUUUUGCCAAGGUAUGGCAAUCCUUGCCAACCCUCGCACCUUCUUUCAGAGCUAGAUGUUGUUCAGAAAAUAAGGAGCUUUGGGAGGGGGUGGUGACAACAACACCAUCCCACUAGAGUACGCAAUGAUGCAUUAUUGUUUAAUUAAGUCAUAUAUACUUCCACAAUUUGGAUAGGAAUUUAACUCAUUAGAAGGUGUCCUAUAGAAUUUCUCAGUGAAAAGUUCAGAGAAGCUACAAACAAAUGUCACUACCGAACAACAAUCAUAUACAUGGGUUAGGGCUUUGAGCAGUGUGAACACAACUUAAUAAUAAAUAUGAAGUCGUCCUCUUUUCAUCAUUAGUCAGAAGAAUUCUUAAACUUUCUAAAAAUAAUUGUCAAAUAAUUGAUUAUAUAGUAUGCCAUUUAUUUGGAAUACAAUUUUUUCAUUACCAGGAAAGGAGACUUCUCACUAAGUAAAUGUAAAGAGACUAAUGCUAUAAUUUGAAUUGGAAAAUAUAAUUUCAUAAUUAAGCAUCGAAUAGGGACUAGUUAAGAAGUACACACUUUAGUUUGCCAGAGUCCAUGUUCUACACAUGUUAGCCACUCUGUCAUUGGUUUAGCAGUAAAACAAAGGAUGUGUUUAGGAUGUGAGCCACACAAAAGGGAAAGAAAACAGAAGGCGCAGUGAGCCACACAAAAGGGAUCGAAACGAAUGUUCAGAAAUAUCGGAAGGAUCGAAGAAAUAUGGAAGGAAAGACGAGGAAAAAACAACAGACCGGAGCAAGUUCAAGAAGGUAGAGAUCCCGAUCUUCAAUGGAAUAGACCCCGAUUCAUGGUUAUUUCGCGCCGAUCGUUAUUUCAAGAUACACAAGUUGACUGACUCAGAGAAGUUAAUGGUAGCGGUAAUCAGUUAUUAGGACCAGCUUUGGAUUGGUAUAGAUCAAUUGAUGAAUUGGAACAAUUCAAGAGUUGGGAAGAUUUGAAGCAAAGGUUGUUGUCCGAUUUCAGACGAUUCGGGAUGGAACACUCGUAGGCAGAUUCUUAAGGAUUAAGCAGGAAACGACAGUAGGGGAAUAUAGAAACAGUUUCGAUAAAUAUUUAGCUCCGGUAGCCUUCCUCCAGACCAUAGUAUUAGAAGAAACCUUUAUGAAUGGGCUAAGCCCAUGGCAUAAAUCCGAAGUUGAAACGCUGGAGCCCAUAGGUUUGGCCAAGAUGAUGUAACUAGCCCUGAAAUUGAAAAUAGAGAGAUGGUUCGUCGAGAAUGUGGGCUUAGUAGUGUUUCGGGAAUGAAUCAACAAUUCAAGCAUAAUAACGUAAAGCAAACCUCGACAGUAACACCCAAUCAGAAACCCACGGAAGGGAGCUGGCCAAUGAGAACGAUUACGUUAAAAAGAGUGACGGCAGAUGAAAAGAGGAGGGAAGGUCCGACCAAGCGUCUUUCCAACGCUGAAUUUCAAGCACGGAGGGAAAACGGUCUGUGUUUUCAGUGUGAGGAGAAGUAUCACGCUGGACAUAGGCGUAAGGUGAAGGAACAGAAGGAAUUACGGAUGUUAGUAGUAAAGGAAAUGGGAGAAGAACUGGAAAUCAUUGAGGAUGAACACUUUGAUGUGGAAACGGAGGCCCAGACCAUUGAAAUUGAAAAAGUGGAGAAUAUGAAUAUAGAGCUGUCCAUUAACUCAAUUGUGGGGUUAUCCAACCCUGGAACCAUGAAACUGAAAGGGAAGAUAAAAGAGACCAAAGUGGUAAUAAUCAUCGACAGUGGAGCCACCCACAGUUUUAUUGCAAAAAAUUUUGUAACCACCCUUAGCCUACCAAUGACAGAAACGUCCAACUAUGGAGUGAUUUUGGGAUCAGGGGUUGCGGUCAAAGGAAAAGGAAUCCGCAGUAAUGUUGAAGUGACGGUAGGAGAGUGGAAAAUUACAAACAACUUUUUACCCUUGGAAUUAGGGGUGGUUGCACUCAUUGGGCAUGACUGAAUUUGAUAUGAAAAAUUUGGUGAUGACAUUCCGACAUGGAGGAAGGAAGAUAGAGAUAAAGGGGGACCCUAGUGUCACCAAAACCCAAGUGAGCCUAAAGUCUAUAAUUAAGACAUGGGGAGCUGAUAAUCACGGUUAUUUGGUAGAAUGUCGGGCCAUGGAGGGAAGGCUAGCUGAGGAAGGCUUAGAGGAUGAAGAAGUGCCAGCCACUGUUGACAACAUGAUCUCUCCUCUGUUGAGCAAAUUUAAUGAUGUUUUUGAUUGGUUGGAAGAGCUGCCUUCGAAGAGGAACAUUGAGCACCAUAUACCCCUUCAGAAGGGGGUGGAUCCAGUUAAUGUCAGACCUUAUCGUUACGCACAUCGGCAAAAGGAGGAAAUUGAAAGACUAGUUGAUGAAAUGUUGAAGACAGGCAUCAUAUGACCGGGUACCAGUCUGUAUUCCAGCCCAGUCCUUCUCGUGAAAAAGAAAGAUGAUAGCUGGCAAUUUUGUGUAGAUUAUCGGGAGUUGAACAAUGUCACUAUCCCAGAUAAGUUCCCAAUUCCGGUCAUAGAUGAGUUAUUCAAUGAGCUGAAUGGGGCCAACAUGUUUUCGAAGAUUUAUUUAAAGGCGGGUUAUCACCAAAUCAGGAUGCAUCUGAGAGGUGUAGAGAAGACGGCCUUUCGAACACAAUGAGGGACACUAUGAGAUUCUUGGUCAUGCCCGUUUGAGCUAACCAAUGCCCCCUCUACGUUCCAAGCAUUAAUGAACCACAUCUUUAAGCCUUAUAUGAGAAAGAUUCGUAUUAGUGUUUUUCGAUGACAUUUUGGUGUACAACAGGGGAGUAGAAGAACAUGGACAGCAUCUGGAAGUAGUCUUGGAGAUCCUUCGAGAGAAUGAAUUGUAUGUGAAUUUAGCCAAAUGUUGCUUUGCCAAAAGUAGAAUAGGUUAUUUGGGGCAUUUCAUAUCCGAAAAGGGAGCUAAAGUUGAUCCAGAAAAAAUAAGGGCAAUUAGGGGAAUGGUCGAUUCCCACUAGUGUGCGAGAAGUUCGAGGUUUCUUAGGACUCAAUUGAUACUAUAGGAAGUUUGGGCAGAAUUAUGGCAGUAUCGAAAGCCCUUUGACACAGCUUUUGAAGACAGGAACUCAUUGUUGGACUGAAGAAGCAAGUGCUGCCUUUGAGAAGUUGAAGAUGGCAAUGAUGAUUCUACCGACGUUAGCUAUGCUGGACUUUAAUCUACCACUCGAGAUAGAAACAUAUGUAUCUUGUUUUGGUGUGGGGCCGUUUUAGUACAAGCCAAGAGACAAAUAUCCUUCUUUAGUAAAACCUUAUGCAUGUGGGAUAGAGCGCGACUGGUUUAUGAAAGAGAAUUGAUAAUAGUAGUGUUUGCGGUGCAAAGGUGGAGACCAUAUUUGUUAGGGAAGAAAUUUACAGUGAAAACUGAUCAGAAGUCGCUCAAAUUUCGGCUAGAACAAAGGGUGAUUCAACCCUAAUACCAAAAAUGGAUAGCCAAUCUUUUGGGAUAUUCAUUUGAGGUAGUCUGCAAUCCUGGAUUGGAGAAUAAGGCAGCCGAUGCUCUAUCUAGAACACCCCGUAUAGUGCACUUAAAUCAAAUAUCAGCCCCAACACUACUCGAUUUAGUGGUGAGUCAAGAAGAGGAAAAGAGGGAUCAAUACCUACAGGAAAUCCAGAAGAAAAUAGAAAGAACAAAAAGUGAAAGUUCCAAACUUUUCAGUACAGCAAGGGGUAUUGAAAUACAAAGGAAGGUUGGUGCUGUCAAAAACAUCCGUUCUACUACCCACUAUCAUGCAUACCUAUCAUGAUUUUGUCUUUGGAGGACAUUCAGGGUUCCUAAGAACGUACAAGAGGAUGACCGGAGAGAUUUACUAGGAAGGAAUGAAGAAAAACAUAAAGAAAUACUAUGAAGAAUGUCUUGUAUGCCAAAGGAAUAAAACACUUGCAUUAUUACCUGCUGGAUUGCUGCUGCGCACUUGAGAUUCCUAACACAGUGUGGUCGGAUAUUUCCAUGGAUUUUAUAGAUGGACUUCCAAAAUCAGCUGGAAAAGAAGUGAUUUUUGUGGUUGUAGAUUGUCUGAGUAAGUAUGCACAUUUUACAGCUAUAAAUCAUUCUUACAUGGCCAGCUUCGUAGCAGAAGUUUUUGUUAAAGAAGUGGUGAGAUUGCACGGUAGCAUGUAUCCGCAGUAAGUUGUAUCGGAUCAAGACAAAAUCUUUAUUAGUCAUUUCUGGAAGGAAAUGUUCAAGUUAGUGGGAACUAAAAUAAAUAGAAGGAAAUGUUCAGGUUAGUGGGAACUAUGCCCAUAUACACCAAGUUCGAAUAUAGAACUUGCUUCUUACUGAAAAAAUAAUGAUUAUGGGACUUGCUAUAAGGGUAUCCAAUACUCGAAGUAAAUGAAUGAUUACAAAAUGAUUGUUUCCUCAGUUUGAAGAAGAACAACAAAAAAGAAAAGAAGGAUAAAAAUAAAAAAAAAAACAAACUUUCUUUUUGAAAUUCUAAAAGAAUCCAAAAAGACUUCAAAAGGUGCAACCAAGAAAGGAGGUCAAAGAAGGGCUCUGAUAGACCCCCCUAUCAUACGUCAAUAUAGUCAAAAAAAAAAAGAGAGAGAUCACAAGGGAACACACAUGCGAAGAAGAAAAGAUUUAAAGGAUUGUUAGAAGAAAAGAUUUAAAAAGCUUGUUGGGCGUCGGUUAGAUUUGAGGAGAUUUAGGAGGGUCGUUAGGUGUUGAUUAGAAUAAAUAAGGAUAGGGAGGAAAGAGGAGGGUAUGCUGAGUUUAGAAGAAAAUUGACUCAUGCUCUUCCUUGAGCGAUAGGAUAGCAGAGAGGGAAUUAGAUUGUUUUUCGAAUUGAGUCCUCCUCAAUUUGAGUGUUCUGAUAUUUUGAUUUUCCUUGUAACUCAUUCUUUGAUUGAAGCAAUAAAAGUUCUAAUUGGAUUUCCAAAAGAGUUCUAUCAAAUUGGUAUCAGAGACAGUUUUUUCUGACCAAGAGGAAAAUGAUGGUCCAAACACGAAUGAAGGAGAGAAUGGAGGCGCACGACCAGGAGAUGCAUUUGAUGAGAAGCGAGAUAAGCAAAAUUUCGACAAUGAAAGAAAUAUUAGCCACGAUCAGCGUACAGACAAAGAAGACUCACAAAAUGUUGAUAAUGUUCAUGGAAUCGAUUACCAGAGAGCAUAUCGUUAUGAGUGAGAAAAUGGCCGAGUCGAGUGUGCGAGAGACAGUAUCAACAAUAACGAAUAAGAAGGAAGGCUCGAUCGAAAAGGACCAUGAGCACGAAACAAAGGAUGGAAAGAUAGAAGGAGAAGACGGAGCGAACGAGCAUAAUAAGUUCAAGAAGGUUGAGAUGCCAGUUUUCAACACGGAAGAUCCCAAUUUUUGACCCUUUCGAGCAGAUAGAUAUUUUCAGAUACACAAAUUGACUGAUGCUGAGAAGGUCCUGGUUGCGACCAUUAGUUUUGAAGGCCCGACGCUGAACUAGUAUAGGGCGCAAGAAGAACACGACAAGUUUACCAGUUGGUCGAACCUCAAGGAGAGAAUACUCAUCCGUUUUCAAUCAGCAAAAGAGGGGUCCAUAUGCGGACAAUUUUUUAGGAUCGGAUAACAGACGACAGUAGAAGAAUAUCGAAACCAGUUAUAUAAGCUGAUGGAACCGUUAUCCGAUCUACAAGACAGAGUGGUGGAGGAAACAUUCAUGAACGGUUUACUGCCGUGGAUUAAAGCAGAAGUGGAUUUUUGUCGUCCGGUCGACGUGGCUCAAAUGGUGCACGCGGCUCAACUCGUAGAAAAUCGAGAGAUAAUUCACAAUGAGGCCAACCUUAAGGGGUACGCCCAAGGAAAAUAUCCGCCUCAAGGUUCUAGGCAAAAUACGAGUGCUGCGACGGUGAACGAUAGCGACAAUAAGAGAAAUACAUUAUUUUCGAUGAGAACGAUUACUCUGAGAACGACAUCCAGAGAAGUUAAGAGAGGGGCAGGCAAAGCGAUUGUUAGACGCGGAGUUUCAAGUCAGGAAGGAAAAAGGACAUUGUUUCCGUUGUAAUGAGAUAUAUUAUCAUGAUCAUCGAUGCAAAAACAGAGGGCAAAGAGAGUUGAGAAUGUACGUGGUCAGGGCGAAUGAUGAAGAAUUUGAAAUCAUAGAAGAAGUGGGAGAAAAUGAAUUGUUUGGAAAUCACAUAAGAAGAUCAUGUUGUCAUCGAACUGUCAAUUAAUUCGGUGGUGGGGCUGAACAAUCCGAGGACAAUGAAGGUGAGGGGGAAUAUCAGUGAGCGAGAAGUUUUCAUUUUCAUUGAUUGUGGAGCAACGCACAACUUCAUCUCCGAAAAGAUAGUAAAGGAGUUACAACUGGCCACGAAGGCAACGUCGCACUAUGGUGUAAUCUUGGGCUCGGGGGAGGCGAUAAAAGGUAAAGGAGUAUGUGAGGACGUGGAAAUCAAGUUGAACGGGUGGAAGGUGGUGGAAAAUUUGUUACCCUUAGAAUUGAGAGGGGUAGAUGUUGUGUUAGGAAUGCAGUAGUUGUAUUCAUUGGGCAUGACGGAAGUAGAUUGGAGGAACCUCACAAUGACUUUUGUGCAACAAGGAGAAAAGGUAGUGAUAAGAGGAGACCCAAGUUUGACCAAAUCCAGAGUGAGUCUCAAGAACAUGAUCAAAAGGUGGAAGGAUUCGUGAUCGAGUGCCGAGCAAUGGAGAGAGUCUUUGAGCCACAGGAAGAUAACGGGAUUGAAGAAGUAUUAACUACUGAUGAAGCAGUAUCGGUCGUGUUGAAGAAUUUUGAAGAUGUUUCUAAUUGGCCGAAGACACUACCCCCGCAAAGAAAUAUUGAACAUCACAUUCAUUUGAAACAGGGCACUGAUCUGGUAAAUGUUCGACCCUAUAGAUACGCUUAUCAACAGAAAGCUGAGAUGGACAAACUUGUGGAUGAGAUGUUGACAGCUGGAAUUAUCCGUCCCAGCAACAGUCCAUAUCUAGUCCAGUUCUAUUGGUAAUGAAAAAAGAUGGCAGCUGGCGUUUUUGCGUAGACUACCAAGCGCUGAACAAUGUAACCAUUCCAGACAAAUUCCCUAUUCCGGUGGUUAAGGAGCUUUUCGAUGAAUUAAAUGAAGCAAACUGGUUUUCAAAGAUUGAUUUGAAGGUGGGGUACCAUCAGAUCAAAAUGUGUGGAGAAGACAUCGAAAAAGCAGCAUUCCGAACACAUGAUGGACACUAUGAAUUUAUGGUUAUGCCAUUCGGCUUAACUAAUGCCACAUCCACUUUCCAAGCUCUGAUGAACUCAACAUUCAAACCAUUUUUGCAGAAGUUCAUAUUAGUGUUUUUCGACGACAUACUAAUCUACAGUGAGAACUUGGAACACCAUUUGAAGCACAUUGGGUUAGCAUUGGAAAUCCUGAGAAAGAAUGAGUUAUAUGCAAACAAGAAGAAGUGCAGCUUCGCACAAGAACGUAUUGAUUAUUUGGGUCAUAUCAUUUCAAGACAAGGAGUUGAAGUGGACCUUGAGAAAAUCAGAGCAAUCACGGAAUGGCCUAUACCCAGUAAUAUAAGAGAGGUACGGGGAUUCCUAGGCCUCACCUGUAACUAAAGAAAGUUCGUUCAGCACUAUGGCUCCAUUGCCGCACCAUUGAUUCAACUACUUAGGAAAGGGGGAUUCCAGUGGACUGAGGAGUCUAAGGAGGCAUUCCAACAACUACAAAAUGCGAUGAUGACCCUGCCCGUUUUGGCGUUGAAAAAAUUUCAAUGCCACAUUUGAAAUGGAAACCGAUGCAUCGGGAUAUGGGGUAGGAGUCGUACUCGUCCAAGCCAAGCGUCCCAUAGCAUACUUUAGUCAUACGUUAGCCUCAAGAGAUAGAGCCAAGCCUGUACAUAAAAGGGAAUUAAUGGCAGUGGUCUUGCAUGUGCAACGAUGGCGACCAUAUCUGUUGGGGAGAAAAUUUAUUGUGAAGACCGAUCAGAAAUCCUUGAAGUUCUUGUUAGAACAAAGAGUGAUACAGCUUCAGUAUCAGAAAUGGGUAGCGAAGCUAACGGGAUACUCAUUUGAGGUGGUCUACAAACUCAGCUUGGAGAAUAAAGCAGUAGACGCCUUGUCUUGGAUGCCUCCUACAAUUAACCUCGGUAGCAUAACAGCUCCUACAUUGGUUGACAUUCUGGUGACUAAAAAGGAAGUCAAAGCGUAUGAAAAAUUAAGCAAAAUAAUGGAAGAACUACAAGCAAUGGAAGAAGUAACAGAGGGUAAAUUCUCCAUCCGACAAGGUAUGUUAAGAUAUAAGGAUAAGUUUGUGUUGUCCAAAACAUCUACAUUGAUACCCACAAUCCUACAUACUUACCAUGAUUUGGUACUUGUGAGGAAUGUGUAAUAUGUCAGAAGAACAAGUCCCUAGUGUAACGAGCAUACUUGUCCAAGGUGUGUUUACCUAUGGCCGUAUGCUCCGAUUAGCCCCAAUUUACCUUGUCUUUAUGUCUUGCACGUAGCUUAGGUAGUUGCUUUCAAUUUCAAGUCGAUAUGCUUGGGUGUGACGUUUCGGCAUUUUCAUAUGUUAAAAAUGUACUAUAGGGGAGGCAUACCUGUUGAAUCCCUGCCCAAGCCUUGUCGUACUCUUUGCAGUCUAUGCUUUCUUAUUGCAAUUGACAGUCUUCAAUGCUUGUUUUAACAACGUUUUCAAUCAAUUUAAUCAUCUUUCAUGUUUUCUAAAACUAUUUUUCCAAGAACGUGAGGGGAGGUUGAAGUAUGUGUUAAAGUUGUCUGCGAUUUGCAGAUUUUGAUCGGCUGACUUGUUCGCCGAGCUAGAACAAGUGCCGCACAAUCGUUCACAUCGUGUUUGAAGGGUUACACAGUAAAGGAAGAGUAAGAAUUUGAGUGGAGAAACUCCAAUUGGGAUCAACACGUGGGCAACAACAUGGCUUCUCACCAACAUGAGAACUCAAAAGAGACAGCAGAUAUUCUAGAGAAGCCAAUGAACUCUUGGGAUGUGAAUCUGCACUUUCCUGCAAUAGUUUGAGUGUGAAUUAGUUCUCUGAAAACACCUGCAGAGGAUAAUCCACGGCAAAACAGAAUAACUAUAAAAAAACCACUUGCAAGUAGAAGAAAAAGGAAGUACAUUUAUACCUUCCCUGUCAAAGUGAUAUCCCUCAUCAACGGAUAUGCAUUUCUUUCCAGGAAGUAGCCAACAAUUUUACAAACCCAUGGGAGUUUAGGUUGUAAUAAGAAAACAAUUGUGUCCAACAAUAGAGUUGCAGGUGUGUUAGAGUUCACAGGUGCAGCCAAAAGUUGAUUCCUCAAUUGGUUUCUAUCAAGAACAACAUCAAGUAAGAAUAAUUCGGAGGAAAAAUAAAGGCAACUUAUCAUAUAUAUAAAUAUGAUUAGUCUGAAUUCGUUUGCGGAAGGUAAAAAAACCUUUAUGUCAAUUAUAUAUAUCUGAACAAAAUCUAAGAAAUAUAUCACUUUUCAACAAAAGAAAUAUAUCAUAUACAAUUAAAGGAUCAUAGCAUAGAAAGCCAACAAAAUCAACAAUGAUAGAUCAAACAUCUGUUUUUCCAUUCAAAACGUUAAAAAGGAUAAGUUUUUAAUAAGGAAUGUUGAAAUGGAAAAAACUAAUUACCUAUUAUGGUGUACAAUCUGGAUGCAAGCAUAUGCAAAUUUCUUAACUCUGUAAUCCACUAAGGCCUUGUUAAGUACAUAAUCCUUGCUAGCGAAAAUGCUCAACAUAUCCCCUAUAUAUGUAAGAGAGAGAAAGGUUAGAAAGUACUAACACUAAGAGAUAUGUGCUAUCAAUUAGAAACACUUUAAGAUGACAUUAUCAAUUAGAAAACCAAGUAUUAAGCAACAUAAGGGAAAAUAACAAACAAGGGCACCACAGUGGUUCAGAAACCAAUCAAUAUUUCCAUUUGUCACUUUUAUAAUAAUUUCCCAAGGGAAAAUCCUCAUAAUAAGCUUGAGUACCACCUAAUAACGUGUUCAAAUGUUACCAUAAGCAAAAAUGAGUGAUCCUAAAAUUCAUAUGACAAGGAAAGUCGUCAACUAGCAACCGCCAAAUAACAGUUAUAUGGCUAGAAUUAGUUUUCUCCAACUUCAAGAAAAUAAAACAUAUUAAAACAAAAGGAAUUAUGGUGCAAAAUAAUGAAUAUGCCUGCAAAGGUAAGAAGUUUCUGAAGGUAAAAAUGGUCAAUAAAAAACAACAUAUAAUUUGACGUAAAUCAAAGUAGAAUUAUUUCUCGCAAUGAAUUCUCUGCCAAUAAUGGCUAAGAGAAGGGGUAUUUAUUGAGAAUUAGUUGGCCAGGCAGAAAUCAUCUAGGGCAUAGUAUUGUUUUAGGUCUGCGACAUUAAAAACAUAAUGAAUGUGUAAGUCUGGUGGUAGUUCUAUUUUGUAAGCAUUAUCUCCGAUCCUCUUUAGGACACGGAAUGGUCCUAAUUGUCUGUCUUUUAGUUUGUUGUAUGUUUCGGUUGGAAAUCGAUUUUUUCUUAGGUGAAUCAUUACUAAAUCUCCCUUGGUAAAGGUAGUUUGUCUUCUUUUUCUGUCUGUUGCGUCUUUGUAGGACUGAGUUGUUUCUUUUAGGUGAUUGUGGACUUCUUCGUGUAAAUUCUGGAUUUUUUCUAUCAUCUUUUCUGCCUCUGAUAGUUAGGGAACUCAACACAUU
rnacentral:lncRNA from 1 species